rnacentral:lncRNA from 1 species
UUGGAGUCGGUACAUAACACUUUGACUUUAAAAUGUGAACGCAUUGAUUAUCUUUACAUAUUUAGUUAAUAUACUCCAUGCGAUUCUUACAACUAUAAAUUUGCUAAAAUAAGUAAUUAGCUUGAAUUUUAAAAUCAAAAUAUCAUUGACCGAUUCAAAUCAAAUAAAUUGAAAUAUUGGAUAGUAAAAUUAAAAUUUUAAAAAGCUUGGAUAAUCGGCCCAAAAUAAUUUAUAAUUCAGAUAUGUUCUAUACAUUUUUACCAAUAUAUAAUUAAUUAUUUCAAAAUAGGUUAAAAUUCAGAUCACAAAAUGUGCUAUCAUUGAGAUGCUAGUUUACCUAAAUCAUGUAUUUAGUGGCCAAUGGGUGCCAAGGAAUAGACAUGCACACAAAUAUAGGUGAAAGCUAUAUAUGGGUCCAACUUUGAGUCACUAGGGUUAUGAAAGGGACCCACAUGUACCCAAAAGAGCUAAGAGAUAUGAAAUGAUCCUCCCUAAGUGGAGGCAAUUAGGUAGGGUUUGGACUUGGCAAAGGUGGCAAAUAAUAGAUUAGGAGGGGGAGGUGGGGAGGGGUACUUGAAAGAUACAUGUCAAAAUAAUAAUAUUAAGUUGAGGAGUGGGAACAUUGGCACUUUGUGUUUGUGUGUUUUAAUUUGUGGGUCUUUUUUGGUUCAUGGUGGGCCAUUUUAUGUUUGGUGAGUAGGGGUUCUUGAAUAAACCUUGAUUAGUAUGUCACUCAUUGAUUGAAGGGCUUUUUGUUGACAAUUGCAACAAAAAUAUAUGUGAUGGUUGCAUGAGUGAUAUGCAUGCAUGUCAUGCUAGCUCCAAAGUUGUAUAUAUCUUGGUAGUUUAAUUUGUUGCAUGAAAUAUUUUAUAUCUAAUCAUAUUUAAUUUCGUAGCAGGAUUUAGCCGAAAGCAGAAGUAGAAAGGAUAUUCUUUUUUCUGAGAGAUAGGUAGCACGCUACCCGCUUCGUUUAUUUCACUUAAAAAUAAAUUUAGCUGGAAAUGUGAAUCAACUAAGAUUCGAACUUGGGUCUCGAAUAUCAACCACCAAAUCCUUUGCCACUUGCUCUAGGAACAAUCGGUGUAGAAAGGAUAUUCUGUUCAAUGCUAAUGCGAUAGUAGUCAAAGAUCGAGUUUUCUUUUAUGAUGAGAUUUCAUCAAAGUUCUAACUUGAUAGUUAUGUAACAUAAAAAUGUUAUUGUUAAGGUUAUAUCAAAGAUUAAUUCAUAUCUAAUCAUACUUACUUUUAAUUUAGGAUUUAGCUCAACUUACACUCUCAUCAGCAGUCAGGAGUAAAAAAAAAAAAAAAAGUUCAUUGUUGACAUGGCAGUAAUCUAACGAAUUUUUUUCAAUGACUAAAGCUCAUCAAUGAGUAUGAAUAAAGAAUAAAUUAAAAUUUUAAUUUGCUAAAUAACAUAGCAUUGAUGACUACAAAAUUUCCAUACAUUGGGGUUGUGGAGAAUCUAGUCACCAUUUAGUUUGUACCAAAUGACAUGUAUUAAAUAAUGGUGUGGUUUUUAAAUUGAUAAAGGAUCACCUACAAAUAUAAUGCUUUUGUUAUACCUAUCUUUGGAAAUGCAUGUGUGUAUGUGUGUUUUUUUUUAUAUUGUUUGGUUGAUGCCACAGUAAAAGUGUGUGACAUUUAAUGAUAUAGGAUCUAAAUGCAUGGCACAUUAAGAAAUAUAAAACUAAAAAAACAAAAUUCCCUUUUAAAUUUUUUUUUUUUUUUUAAAUAACCUGUCACUUUGAGAGACUAUUUAGUACCAAGCAUAGUAGAGCUAGAAUGGUGACAUAAAUUUUUUGUAGCUUAUAAUUAAUUAAUUACAACUUUAAAUAUGUCAUAAUCAUAGACCGUAUCAUAGUCGAGAAAAAUGCAAAUUUUAAUAUAAAGUAGAAAGGCAAUUUUAAUAAAAAAAAUAUUACUUAUUUUACAAUUCUAUACUUUUAUAUUUAUGGGAUAAUCUAAACUAAUUGUGCAUUAAAAAUAUGAUUGCACACUUAUGUAGAUUAGCCGCCGAUUUUAUAUAUUAUAUUCCACACUUUUACUAUAAAAAUGUAAUAAUAUAGUUACACGCAUAGCAUGUCUAAUUUUGUAGUGAAAUGUAUACAUUAAGAUAUUAUAUUUUAAUAAUUUAUGUUUUUAGAAAAUAACGAAUGUUUCAGCGUAUUAAAUAUGUCUAGUUUAUACAAUAUUAGACCCAAUAGGAUCGAUGCACAUAUGAACUGAGUUGUGGUUUUAGAACAAAUUUUAAAUUAAAAAUUAUUUUAUUAGAUUAUGUUCAUACAAAACUAACGAGAACUAAAUAUAUUUUAUUUAUCACAUGCUUUAUUAAAUAUAACCGUUGCUCAAAUUGGUUGAAAUUGUAUUUGUAGUAAUUAGCGAGCGUAAUUUUAAACAAAGAACUUUCAUACUAUGAAUAAUUUUAUCACCUCAUAUAUAUAUAUAUAAUAUAUAAUAAAAUUUAAUAAAUAUGAAUUUUAAUCGUAUGUAAAGGAACAAAUUAUUAAUAACUACAUUACCUUUUGCAUAAUCUAAUUAAGCAUAAAGAAGAUGCGUACAUUAUUGUACUAUAUAUAUAANAAGCAUUAGAGCAUAUAUUCAAUUCAUUUUAAUAUAAAAAAUAACAAAAUACAUAAAAUCAAUAAAAUAGUUAAAAAUAACUAAAACAAAAUUUUUUAAUUAGUCAAGAUUCAUUUUAUAUUUUUUCUACUAUUUAAUCGGAGUCUCAUAAUAGAGUUGUUGGAUUUUAUCUAAACAAUUAAUUUAUUAAUAAUAAUAUAUUAAUUUUAAAAAAAUAAUUUAGUGAUAUUUAUCGAAAAGAAAAAUAGUUCAAUAUUAUAAAAAAGAAGUAAAUCUAAAAUACAGUAUAAAAAUUGAUAAAAUAUAAUAAUAUAAUAAUAUUUUUUUAGAAAAUAGUACAUCAUAUUAAAUAAAAAUAAUAUAUAUAGUACAAUACAGUAGAGUGUAAUUAAGCAUGUUAACCGUAUAUUUUUUCAACUAUACGGUAUCUACUGUUACAUCCAUCCAAACACAUUGUAUCUAAUUUAAUUGUCGUUGCGUGUGUUCAAAUUAAGACCUAAUUAUACACACCACUGCACAUUGGGUGGAGACAAAUUAUGUCCAAUUUUGUAAACUUUUGUUUUACUUUUUUUUUUUCUAUUUUAAUUUAAUUAUUAAUCCCUUCAUUCCCCCACCUAUAUUUCUCCCAUGGCUCUCUCUAGAUUCCAACUUUUCAAAAAAAAAAAAAAACUUUAAAUACCACUCCUGUAGUUUUAUAUAUUUUUAUUUUAGUACCAUAUAGUUUAAAGUGUAUCAAGUUAAUAUCCUGUGGCUUUAUUUUUAUUUUUUCGUCAGCUUUUUCGUCAAUAUUUUGUUAAAUUAUAUAAAAAAAACUUCAGAUACCCGAACUAGCUCUAUCGAAUAUUCACUUUAGUAACUUUUAGUUUUAACUUUAUUACUAAUUUAACGAAAAAAAUUAGUGAAAUCGAUAAUAAAAAAAUAAAAAUUAAACCAUAUGAAACUAAAUUGAUAUAUUUUAAAACACAGAAUAAUAAAGUGAAAAAGUAUGAAACCAUAAGAAUAAUAUUUGAAGUUUUUUUUUAAAGAAAAAGAAAAGAAUGAAAAAAAGAGAGAAAAAAGAAAGAAAUUAUUGCUUGCUGCUGCCUCCUCCUCCGAGUCCUCUCGUUGGUGAAAAAAAAAAAAAAAAAAUCACAAAAACAAAAACAAAAACAAAUAAAUUAUUAGACUAAUAAAUUUUUUUUAAAAAAAAAUGUAAAAAGCAGUGAAAAGGUGUGGAAAAAGUUUCCAUUUUUGCAGGUGCAUGAAUUGGCUCCUCCUCCGCCUCCCCCUCUCCCUCCCCUUCCUCCUCCUCCUCCUCCUCCUCCAUUCAACUCUUUCUCCAAAAACAUUCCUUUUUCCCUCUCUCUCUCUCUCUCUCUCUCUCUCUCUCUCUAUAUCUUUCUCUGAAACCAUUCAAAGCUCCCACCUUUCUCUCUCUUCUCUUCUCUUCUCUCUCUCUCACACACACACUUCUCCUCUGGUGAGCCCUGCUUGCGCUGUUCCUUUCAGACCCCAUCGCCUGCUCCCUUUUUGACUCUGGUUUCCUCUGCUGCUGCUGCUUUUAUUCUGGGGCUUCAAUUUUUCUGGGUAUUUAUUUAUUUAUUUAUUUAUUUAUUUCACAGGGGAUUAGGAAAAAGGAGGAUUUUUUUUCUCUUUCUUUUUGUUGGUGUGGGGGGGUUUGUAUUGUUUCUCUGAGGAUUUGGUCAUCUGGGUCUCCCCUGUUUCUUCUCCUUCUCCUUCUUUUUACACAUCUUGUUUGAGUUAAGGAGAGGAAGAGGAAGGGGAAGAGGAAGAGGAGGAAGAAGAUGACUGUGGAGGAGAUUAAGGUGAAGGGGGAAGGCGCCGGAGACCAGUUUCCGGUGGGCAUGCGCGUGCUCGCCGUCGACGACGAUCCCACCUGCCUCAAAUUGCUCGAGACCCUCCUCAUCAGAUGCAAAUACCAUGGUUCGUUUCUUCAUCCAAAUUCCUCACUUUUACUUGUUUUUUGGGGCUUCUUUUUUUAAAAAAAUAUAUAUUUGUUGGUUAAUUUCUCUCAGUAUUAGGACGUGGGUGAUCUUUUAAUUCAUUGAAAUCCUCUUUUUUCCUUGGUUUUUUGUGUUAUUUUGGUUUUUUCUUCUUUUUUUUUUUGUUUUUGGAAGUGAAAGGGUUUUAGAUAUCAUGGAAAAUUCUUUUGUUGGUUAAUUUCUCUGAGUAUUAUUAGGAUGUGGGUCUUUUAAUUCUACCUAUCAACUCUAUGUUUUCAUGUUGAUUGUUUCUGGGACUUUGCUUGUUAUUCUCUACUUUGUACCUUUUUCCUUCUCCUUUUGAAGUUCCUUUUCACUUAAGUUGUUAAUCUUAAAAUUGAAACUUUUGGCCCUGUUUGGUUUAAAAAAUGUUCAAAUUCUAUGUGGUUGGAUGGCAAAGAAGCGCAAAAAAAAAAAAAGAAAAAAGAAAAAAAAGUGUUGCUGUUGAGUGUUUUUUUCGCACUCCAUCACAUAAAAAUUUGUGUUUUUCUUUUUUCCCUAUUUCAAGAUAAGCAGUGGGACCUUAGGACCAGUUGGUUUUGUUUUUUACUUUUUUUUGUGUGUUUGUGUGUUGUUAUUUCAGUUACAACAACUAGCCAAGCAAUCACUGCCCUGAAGCUGCUGCGCGAGAACAAGGACCGAUUCGAUCUGGUCAUCAGCGACGUCCACAUGCCCGACAUGGACGGUUUCAAGCUCCUCGAGCUCGUCGGCCUCGAAAUGGACCUCCCAGUGAUUAGUAAGUCUCUCGCAUGAUCAUGCACACCUCUCUUUGUAUUUGUCGAGUUUGAUAACUACUUCGCAAAUGAAUCAUGUCCAUUAUUGCAUUAUUAUUACUGUUAUUGGUACAUUAUUUGAUGACGUAAGCGAAUGAAUCUCUCGCUCGCGCAGUGCUGUCCGGAAACGGCGAGACGCAGGCCGUGAUGAAGGGCAUAACGCACGGAGCUUGCGAUUACUUGUUGAAGCCCGUGCGGAUCGAGGAGCUAAGGAACAUAUGGCAGCACGUUGUUAGGAGGCGGAAGUUCGAUGGGCGAAGCCAGAGUAAUCUUGAGAACGGGGGGGAGGACGGUCAGAAGAGUAGCCAGAUCAAUCACGAAGGUGAGCAGGGUGCGGUCGACCGCAACGGGAAGCUGAAGAAGAAGAGGAAGGAGCAGAACGGAGAGGAGGAGGAGGAUUCUGACGAGAACCCGCGCGAGAAUGAGGACCCCUCGGCCCAGAAGAAGCCGAGGGUUGUUUGGUCGGUCGAGCUGCACCGCAAGUUCGUUGCCGCUGUUAAUCAGUUGGGAAUCGACAGUAAGAAUUCUUGCUCUUGGCUUGUUGUUGCCGUGCCAUGUUCAAUUUCUUGGAUGGGUUGGAAUGAUGAUAAUAUGUUGGUUUUGUGCAUUUUGUUCCAGAGGCUGUUCCUAAGCGGAUUCUCGAUCUUAUGAAGGUCGAGAAGCUCACUAGAGAGAAUGUCGCAAGCCAUCUGCAGGCAUGAUUUCAGUUCUUAUAUUCAUUUUUCAGCAUAUACUCACAGCUGAAUUUCCAUUUGCAUAGUGUUUUAGCCACUUUGCAACCAAAAAAAAAAAAAAAAUUACAACUCCACUCUUGUUUUCUGAAUUUGCAAAAAUGGGACUCCUUUCUUGUUUUUUUUUUUUUUUCUUUUUCAGAUUUUCGUUUUUUUUAAAAUAAAUUUCAACUUUAAGAACGAAACCACCCCUCCGCUUCAAGGCUGUGAUGCACAUUUUCGGAUAACCAAUGCACAAUUCUGAAUAGUCGAAGCACAAUUUCGAAACCUUGCGGCUAUCAAUCAAAGUUGUGCAUCGACAUUGAUAGUUCUCAACUGUGCAAUCCAUUGUGCAUCAUGCAUCGUGGUCUUUUAUUUGUCGACGAAACUUGCUCCUAUGCCUAUUUCUUUUGUAGUUUACAUAAUCACCUGUAAUUACCAUUAACAUCUAUUUCGCUCUCAUUGGAUGAAAUCAGAAGUAUAGGCUCUACCUUAAGAGGCUAAGUGCUGUAACAAGCCAACAAGCUAACAUCGCCGCGGCUUUGGGAGGACGGAACCCGUCAUUUAUCCACAUGAGCUCAUUGGAAAGCUUCAGAAACUACCAUUCACUCGGAAGCACUCGGCAUCUCCCGUCAGUCGCUUCCUGCCAAGCAAAUGGGCUUCUCGGCCGGAUGAACACGCCAACUGCGUUCGGAGUGCACGGUUUGCUUCCCUCUCAGGCGGUUCAACAGAUCGCUCGAACGCAAAACAACCCAAGCAAUCACACUAAGGAUUUGGAGAAAAUCCAAGCCGCUUAUCCGCAAGGAGUUCAUCAAGGGAAUUUGUUUCAAGGGUUUCAAGAAUCAAACAAGCUUUUCUCCGCCGGUUUCAACGGUGGUGGAUUAGCUAAUGGUUCUUGCGGCGACGCUUACGCGAACGCCGCGAACGGUUCAAUGCUAGUGCAAGCGAAUAAGAUCCCGACGCAGAAUGGAGUGUUGGGCAACUCUCCUUCUUUCAGAACUCGCGUCGGAGAGGCAGCCCAGUUUCCCGAUCUUUCGCGAUGCGACAAUACUUGGCAAAGCGUCGUUUCGUCAAAGUAUCCAGCCGCCACUUUGCCAGUCAACGACUCAUUUAAUCACAACAACGAUCUAACUCCGUGUAGCAUCGGAGACAGUAUUGCUCCGAUGCCCUCGCACAUAGAAGGUGCCGUUCUCUGUGAAUCUCCGAGCAAUUUGGAGGCGGCAGUUAAUCGUAAUCCGGUGAUUGGAAGUGAUUUACGGAAUCCUAAUCCCAUUUCUUCACUUGGUGGGAGUGCGAUGCCAAUUUCAAGCCUCGGUGAAGACCCAACGACCACUUCCUUUGACUUCAGAAGCAUGUCGAAUGCGAAUCCGAGACUGGAUCAUACCGCUAAUGCAAGUACUUCUUCCUUGAGCUCCAUAUUGCCGAAUCUUCAAAUAAAUGAUCCUACUGCCCAGAAGCAGGGCUUUUGUAGCAAGCAGAUGGAUGCGAGUUUGAUAGGAGAAGCAAAUUUUGGCGCUCCGAUCCUGACGCACGAUUGGAGGAUCGACAGUAGAUCAUCUAACAGAGAUCAAAUUCAGGGCAAGGACGAUUACGCUUCGGGAAUGACCAAGUUGCAGAAUGGCCUUAGUCGCAGCAUUGACGAUAUUGUUAGCGCCAUGCUUAAAUCGGUAUGUGUUCUUUUUCUUCUAUUGAACUACAAAAUUGUUUCUUUAGCUGUUAUUAGCAUGUUAAGAAAUGUGUCUUAAGACACUCGAAAUCACAAUAAGAUCCUUAUUAUCUUGUUGAAGGCUUUUGAGAAAGAAUACUCGAUUUAGCCGACUACAUGAAGAGCAAGUACUUUCACAUAACUAGCUAAACCACCUUAUUUCUUCAUUGUAGGACCGCGACGAGUUUACUGCUUUCGUGGAUGGGGACAUGGGAUAUGACCUCUAUACUCUUAGUACUUGAUGAGCCGAAUCGCGAUGAAGAAAAAAAAAAAAGCUCGUUGUAUUGAUUUGCGUAGGAUUCACAAUUCCAGUCGCGAAGUUUGUAUUUAUUAAUGCCCAUUUCCUCUAUUGACUUUGUUAUUCUUCUUUUUUCUAGCAAACAAUCAUCUAGGUGAGUGUAGCAUAGGAAAUUAUGAGUUGGGAAUGUUUGGAGUUUUGUAUUAUACAAAAUAUGCUUUUAAACUAAAUGAUGCUAUGGAUGGUAUUUAUUCAAGUGGAAUGUGUUUGACAAGUGACAAACAACUUGAUUUUAGGUUAUUGUACUAGGUAGUUGUCAUAGUGCUCUUUCAUAUUUGCUUAAUACUUUAUCCAGUGAUAGUAUACAACAACUUAAAAUUUGUAUUAGUUUAACAUGCUUUGAAAUUCAUUGAGCUAUGUAGUACUUUAAAAUUCAUCCAAAGUAUCUACACAUUCUUUUUUAAUUUUUAAUAUUAAAAAAUAUUGAUAUGAUUGGUAUAAAAAAAAUUAGUCCUUAAUGAAUAAAACAUAAUAUUCAUAUUUUUUUUGAAUGCUUAAAUAACAUUGCCCUCAUUUGAUUCUGUUGUUACCUAGUUUUGGAAUACAUUUUCCAUACUACAACCUGACCAUACAAAUUAUAUCAGUAAGAAUGUUAUAUCAUUAAAAAUUUUAGCGAAAACCAAGAUGCGGUCCAAAAAAAUAUCCAAAAAAAUAUUAACUCUAUUCUAUUCUCAUCAGCUCCGAGAUCGAAAGUGGAGAGUCCAAUUGAUCUUAACAUCACUGGCAUCAUCCAAAUCAUCUAACCAUUGCAUCUCAUCUCUUUUUUAAAAAAAAAAUUUCUAUUUUUUGUCUACAAAUAGAGAGAGUAACAUGGUUCAAGGACCUGAUUGAGAGAACAUGAGCCAAUAUUUUCAACUACUUCACUAUCCAGCAAAAUAUCUAGUAAAGAUUCACUAGGUAGAACACUCAAAACUGUCCCAUUGGUGCAUGCCACUUUUGGCAAGUUAUAGCAAAGAGAAAUAUUUAAGCUUCAAGUAAUUCAAAUAAUCUUAAGAGACCUAUACUUAUUUUGCAGCAUCAUCUUCAUCUCCAAUAAUGUGCGCACUUGGACAACAAGGAAUUAUAUCACAAACAGUAGAUGCUCAAUGGUUUCUGGUGCACUACCACAGAGAGUGCGGGCGACAUCCACACCCGGCGGCUGAGACUAACAAGAUCAAACACUGCAGCAUAAAAACCUCAAACAUAACAAGAUCAAAACACCAAAUGCAACCUUCGCAGAAAAGAAAAGACAAACAAAGAGCGCCUAAUCCUCUCAUCUCACAUCCUGUCCACACCCAUUUCUUUCCGAGCAGGGUGUCGCGCUGUUCAGUUAAGAGCUGUUUGGAAAAGCACGGAGCGAAUAGCUAAAGCAGUUGCCGCCACUGGGCCAUCCAAACUGCCUCCUCAUCCCAGCAUUGAGAAACCACAAGAUGUUACGGCUAUACCGGAGAAUUUCGUUGCAGGAUAGAGAGGUUCUGGAUCUCUGAUAAAUCAUAACCUGAUCAAUCGCCAGUCUUCAUCGCCUGUUUGCACAUCGAAUAAUAAAUUGGUAACCCGAAAAGAGAGAAAAGUAAUGGCGAUGAUAAGGUAUUAGAUAGAAGGAUUAAGGCUCAGAUUCACCUUUCAUUUACUAGAAAGAGAGAUCCUCCUCUCCACUCCCCAUGCAUGGCUGCAGCAUUUGCCAUGGUGCCAUCCAAGCUGCGCUACCGAGUUGCCGUCAAAUGCUUUCAUUUUAGAAUUUCACAGUAAGAGGAUAGAGAAGUAUUCAGAUCUCAUAGAAGACGAAACUUCUACCAGGCCCUCCUCUUAGAUGGCGAGAAAGUCUUCAUCGUAACAGCAAUUUCAUACAGGAUCAGAAAAUGCUAGGGGUGCAACCGGGGCAGAUCCGGACGCGCGAGGGGUCCCCCACCUCACACCGCAGUUCCUUGGCGCGUCAGGGCAGAUCUAUUUUUAUCUUUAUCUUUUACCCCCACUUAACACUUCAUUUGGGGCAAAAGCGAGUAUUUGGCAUAUUGGGACCGAUCAAGGGAAGGAAGGGGCCCUGCCUACCACUCCAUUUGCUCACCGGAUCAGGGCAGAUUUGGGACAAGUUUUUUUUUUGGGGGGGUUUUUAUUUUUGGGACCCAGGAUUGGGCGGGAUGCUAGGACUUAGGAAUUUUCUCCAAGAUUUCCCUAGCUUAAGUCCGUAAUAGGGAGCUCUAUCAACCCAGAUCCAUUUGCAUCACUAGUAAACGCCAGCUAGGGGAAGGAAUCCGACAUCAUUACCUCUUUGAAAACGGAUUAUGAAAGAAAAGGGGAAUCACCAUACAGUUUGCUAAAACUUUUGUAUGGAGCUCCCAAUAGAGGGGGUCGGCUUCCGUAGAGGCAAGUCCAACAUCACAGCAGCAAACCAAACUCCAUCAAGAUCAAAAACUAAAAGAAACUUUAUUAAAAGACAAAACGUAAACUAAACGAAAUCGUAAAAGAAAAAAGAAAAUCUCAAUAUAUGGUUGAGAAAAAAAGAAAGGAGAAAAUCCUCAAUAAAAUGGCAGCACACCAAAAGUGCAAAAGAUAGAACGGAUGAAUAAAGAGAAUUUUGUUAGAGAGAUUUUGGAUCUCUGAUAAGCCAUCACCAGUAUCAGUUGUCCAAAAGCAAGAUGAUGGUCUCAUUGAUCAUCAUCAAUACUUAAUUUGUAUGGGUAAAAUGCAUGGAUAGCCUAGCCUCUGUACUUUAACAAUAUUCCGACUUGGUCCCUAGGAAGGGGUUUUGCAUUUUGAAACUAGAGUCAUCGGUUCUAGAAGAGAUAAAAAGGGAGAGCGUAGCAGGCGGCAAACCCUUCCGAAGAACACCCAAUCCUCCGGUGAAGAGGCACCCUUAGUUGAAUUGUAGGUAAAAAUGUAUAGAACUUAUCUAAAACAUGGCCAAAUUGACCUAUUUUGAGAAGAUUGCUUAACCAGCCUACCUUUAAGGCCUAGUUAGGAAAUGUGUUGACCAAGAGUACUACCCUAAAGUGCAAUGGGAAAAUAUUGUGCUUGUUUUCUAGAGUAAUAACAUGAGAAAAAUAGUUUUGUUGCACUUUUAUCUCAAAAGAAGAGAUGUGAUUGGCUUGGACAUAAAUGAUACGGUGUAGCUGCUACAUAAAAACUACCUCCCUGUUUAGAGUAUAAAAAGGUUGGCACUUAGACAAUGGACUUGUCGAAUUACAACUCCAUUUGUGUUGUGGGGCUAGCUCUAACUCAAAAUUGAUUUUUAUUGGUCCUAUCUAAAAACAGAGAUAAAUAGCUCCACAUGCUUCCGCUCCGAACUCUUUUUAUUGUAAAGUGGACAUUUGGUCGGAUGCAAUUGUAAUUACAGUGUAGUUAGAAUUUCCUGUAGUUGACAAUGAAACAAUUACAACUAAAUGUAGCUUGUUUGGUUGAAUACAGUAGACAACGCUACAACCAUAAAUAAUUUGUUUAGUUGCACACAAUUGAAAACUGUAUCCACAAAUUUUAUCAUGGUAGGAUUACCCCCAAUAUAGAAGAAAAUUUAUAUAACUUUUUUCAUUUAGAAGGUAAGUAGGUAGGAAGGUUUACCUCUUAUAAAAUUGUGGUCAAUUUGGACGUAGCUCUUGCUGAUGCUGGAGAUUGCAACCCCAAUUUUACAAGAUAAAAGGAGAAAAAAAAAUUGAAAACAUUUUUAAUUUUUUUGGACAUUCUAUAGCAUAAAAACAAGAUGUUUUUAGCCACAGUCAAAAGUUUCAAAAGCCCUUUUACUCUUCACUCCAAUGCUGUAAAAUUCGAGCACUAAACCACCGCCGGAGAAGCAUUCAUAAGAAGAGUCCGACGAUGAUGCUUCCGGAAACACCACAUAGGUGGUGCUUCCAAUUUAUUAACCUUCGAUUCAACCCUUUCGACCAUUUCUAACAUUUGGAUUAAUAUUAUUUCUCUAGAGAGACCGCUAAAUCCUAGAUUGACCACUAAAUCCUAACCCUACAAUCCUUAAUCCAAAGGCCAAAAAGUCGAAAGCAUCAACUCCUUUAUACCUCUAGAAGCCUAGUAGCUCUACACGCAUAAGUAUAAAAUUACCUGUUCUGCUUUGUGCCUGCGUUUGCCACAAACAUUUUGCGGCUACUCUUCAAUGGGCUCGAGAAAUUCGAGAUAUUAACAAAUAUUUAACAAAAAAAAUUAGAAUGAAAAUAACAGAAACCCUAAGACAUCAAAAGCCAAUACCAACAUCAGCAAAACCAAAUGAAUAAAUAAAUAAAUAAAAGCCUAGUAAAAUGGCGACUCAAAAACGAAUAGAAUAAAUUACAAAAAAAACUAUCACCAUUAGUAGUUUGCUUGAGAGUAGGGCUCAGAAACCAUCAUCGCCUCUUUGCCCAUCGAUCGAUCGAUCUAUCUAUCUAUCUAUCUCUAGAGAGAGAUAGAGAGGGUUAGGGUUUUGGCGUUUGACGAAGAAGAUGAUCAUCGGCUCUGUCGAGUAGAGAGAGAAGAGCACAAGGAGGAGGCAAACCCUUUCCCCUCCCCAACAAACACCCGAUCCUCUUCUUGUGCUCUUCCGAGAGCCUCACACUUAAACUAAUGAGAGUGUGGAGCGAGGAAGCCUCAAACCCUAGAUUUAUAGGGUUUGAGAGAGAGACAAUAGAUUUUUUUUGUUUUCUUUUGGGAAAACUUCAAAAAACCCCUUGUGGUUUCAUUUUUUUCAAUUUAGUACCAUGUGAUUUAAAAUGUAUCAAGUUAGUACCGUGUGAUUUAAAAUGUAUCAAGUUAGUACCUUGUGGUUUCGCACUUUCUCAUUUUAGUACUCUGUGGUUUAAAGUGUAUCAAGUUAGUACCUUGUGGUUUCGCACUUUCUCACUUUAGUACCCUGUGGUUUAAUAUUUCAUUCGGAAAAAAAUAAAAUCAUAGGAUACUAACUUGAUACAAAAAUAAAAUUAUAGGGUACUAACUUGAUACAAAAAUAAAACUAUAGAGUACUAGCUUGAUACACUUGAAACCACAGAGUACUAAACCCAAUCCCAAGUUUUGAUCCCAAUCCCAAAACCACCCGUUUCCACUUCUUGUUCCUGCGCUCCUACCAUAUUUAUUAUUAUUAAAAUAUAAACAAAAUUUCUAAUUUAUUUAUUUCUAAUUAAAUUAACUCUCCAACCUCCGCCCGCUACGCUCCGGCAGUCUAUAAUACUUGGAGGCAUCCUAUGGUGAACCUUUGCUUUUUAGCUGUUUCUACUUUACUAGCUAUUACUAAUCUGUGCGACCAGUGUUAUUAAUGUAGGUCCUGUUGCCUAUCCUCGUGAACUAGGGUCGGUUUCGACUCAUAUUUUCGGUGGUGUUGUUGUUAACAUUCACGUCGUUAUUUGUUUUUUAAACUACCAUUGCACUCUACAGUUUUUAUUUUUAUGUUCAUCAUAUAUUACUAUGAUUACAAAAUUUUAUUAAUUUUUUAUUGUAAUUGAAAAAAAAAUCUUUUUUGAGUUUUUUAGAGGUACACCAAAGUGUGAAAGAUUGAAAUUAUGGGGCACCAAAUUUCACAUAGUUUAAUCAUGGGAUACUAAAGUGUGAAAGAGUGNUGAAUUAUUCGGUUUAGCAUUUCUACAAGGCAUUAAAAUUAAUUUUAUUGUUUAAUAGCAUACACCCUUUAGAGUUCGAAUGUAAAAAAAUAUAUAAAUUUGAUAAAAAUUGUUCACCAUUUUUUUAAAACGAUAAAUAAUUCGCCAUGUAAUGCUAAUUUAAUAAAUAAAAAUUUUAAAUACUUAUAUUUACAAUUGAAAAAAUCUGCAAUUAGGAACACACUUCGCAUAUUUUAACCUUUCAUCCUAAGAUUCACGCACGUCUUUUUCAGUUUUUAUUAUUAACAAAUUAAAUUAAAAAAUAUAUGAAUUGCACAUUUGGUCCUCAAACUGUAAGACCGGUGACACUUUAAUUUUCAAACUGCAAUUUAUUGCAACUUUUUUACUUAAAUAUUUAAAAUUAUUACAAUCAAAUCCUAUAAUCCAAUUUAGCUCUAAACUAAAUAUUAACAUAACGCUAAUGUANAGCGUGCAGCUUGAGUUUGCGCGGGAAUUUCAGGUAACGAAUUCCUAUCUUAAAAAAAAAAUUGUUUUAAUUUUCUUCGGGUUUCUUAACAUUAGAUUGUUACAGAUAAUUUAGAUAAUUAGAUAAUUUAAAAAAAAAAAAAAAAAAAAAAAAAAAAAGAUCCACCUGCGGUUCAGAAUCAGAAUCAGAAUCAGAAUUGAAAUUAAGCCCAAAAUCAGUUUCACUUCAAUUCAUAUUUUUUGCAAAUCAAAUCGAUAAUUCUCACUUUGUUGCGUAAGGCAUGUGUUUGGAUGUUGGAAACACAUCGCUGCAACCACUUGAAUCUUGCUUUCCUCUUCCUUCAGAAUUAGUGAUUUAGAGGAUUUCAAAGAGGAUAUAUAAAUUGAAAUUCAAUGGAAAUAAAUUACCAAUAAGCAGCAGAUGAUGAAAAAUUUUCAGCUACUCAUGCAACAACAGCAGAUUCAGCAAAAAGUAGUUCCUCAAUGCAACGAAUUUCCCCGACUAAGCAGCGAAAUAUGCAAAAAGUAGUUCCUCAAUGAUUCAAAAAAGAUGAUAAAUUCAAAACAGAACAAAUAUUCAGAAUAGAAAAAGGAGCAAGGAAAAGACACCAACAUUGCAAAAUUGUAUCCGGGAAGUAGGUUCUGCCAUUAAGGGCAGUCCAAACAUAAUAGUAAAUUGAUAUUUUACGAGAAGCAAAUAUUUUACGGACCGCUGCAGUAACUUAAAAAAGAGGGAGCAAAAAUGGUUGCCUGAAAAGAACAGACAAGCCAAACCACACUAGACAGAACAGAGAAGAUGCAGGAUGAACAGGAUGAACAAAUAUAGCUUCAAAACCUCACAAAUUUAACCGAAUAGUGUGUACAAAUCUCUAAACCAAGAAUCUGCACCCAAAAUAUUGGGAUUAUAUUUCUCUGGGUGGGCCAAAAUCAUCAUUUGCCUCGAAAGAGAAACAGGAAAAGAGCUGAAAGACAACAACAACCACCAACAACACCACCACCACCGCCGACCGGAGCAGGAAGGAAGAAGUGCCUGAGAGAAGCUACCAAAUUAAAGUAAGCAAAAAGCUGUUCUAACCCGGCAUAUUCUUCUCAAGAAAAGCUCGAAAUUGUCGUUACGUAAAACAUAUAUAGACUGCUUUCACAAAUUGCAAGGAAGCGUAGCAUGACAAGCCUCAAAAUCGAAGGAUCUCCCUAGAGGAUCAUUACUAGACAUUAAAUCAGUGUCUCACAUACAAAUACCUUAUCAAUUUUAUUGUUUAGCCAAUCGUAUCUAGCGCAAUUGGCUAAAGACCUGAUGGUUGGCACCCGAAGUCCCAAAUUCAAAGCCUAGUUGCCUCACAUUUCCAACCGAGUACAUUUCUAAAAAAUAGAACGAAGUAGCUAGUUUGCUACUUUUCUCUCAAUUUUUUUAAAAAAAUUACUAUUUAGAAAUUUAAUAAAUUAUUUUAUGAACAAAAUUUAAUUUACGAGAAUUUUUAAGUAAAAAUCUAGAUCCACAACAAACCUGCAAGAGGGAAGACAGGAUUUUCGGUUAAACAAGAUUAGAGUAGAUAUUAAUUGCCACAUGUCAGUUACUUGGCAUGCCACUUGGCAAAACGAGAAUCCUUCACGUUCUCUCAGCUUUUGCUUUCAUAUAUUUAUGUAGAAUUAAAUCAAAGCAUCGCUUACUCGCUCCUGCUUCCAUCUAUAGAUCAAAUAGGAAAGGGCAAAAAAGAUGACAGGAGCUGCAGGUAAAGGAGGCUCAGAUUCGCCUUUGAUGCAUCAGAGAAAAGAUCUCUCUCCCUCUCUUCUCUCAUGCAAGUCCAACCCCUUCUACACGUUAAUGGCGGCAGCGGUUGCGUUCGCACCAUCCAUGCUGCUUUGCCAUCAUUAGAAGGGAUCUGAGAAAAGCAUGAAGAGAAGAGACGGAUUCGCAAUCCGAGAUUAACUAACAAUCAGCUAUGCACUGAAUCAUCGAUCAUCAUCACCUCCUCACUGCUAUCCUCUUUCAAAUCAAAUCUGAUUAUAGAUCACUUGAAUUCAGUUCACAAAAACUCAAUUGAAUUCAAAGCUGUAAAAUGCUCAAAUGUUUGCACUCAUUUUGAACACCCCGAAAGGAGCUAUAGGGUGAGAAAGGAGAGGAGAUAACACCCAUUCGAUCCAGCUUCCAAAAUGUAGUUUUGCCAGAUGAGUGGUAUCAAGAUUUAAACAGAGUCUGAACACCAAGUUGGGGUUAUAUCCCAUGGGAGGGGCCAAAAUCACCAUUGCCGUUGGAAAAGGAAAGGCAAACCUUUAAAGAUGAUCACUAACAGCAGGAACGGAAAGAAAAAAAAGAAGCAAUGAAAAGGAAGGAUAGUGAUAUUGCCAGAGCAAGUAAUGAAGGACCUUGAAAUGUGCUCUGAAUGUAGGUACUAAAGGUGCAAGGCUGCCAUUCCAACCUUCCAGCAUCCAUCACAGAAGCUCGAGAAUUACAUAGGGUGAUGUUUGGUUUCACAUAAAACUGCUAUUGACAAGUUGCAUCCUUGAUUUUCAGGAAAAGAAAAUGAAGAGUGAGAAAGAACGAGACAGAUAAGUAUUUUCAGUUUUCAGUCUGCAUUUUCUGCAGAACUACUUAAAAUACAAAAAAGCCUUUUCCAGAGUAUUUUACACACAGAAAAACUUCAAGAGCUCUUCUCACCCCAAAAUAGUGAUUUUGGGCCUAAUGUCUAACGACUCAAUCCACCAGUUAAGCAUGCUAGGGCGAGAGUAGUACUAGCAGGCUUGGUUGUCACAUUGGGGGUGGAGCAUCAAAGAGGAUUACCAGCCAGAAGUGUAAGCAAGGUCUCGCAUCGCCUGAUGAUCGGGAACAUGUGGGUAAAUGGACCUAACAAAGAUGCUGAGAUCUAAAUAGGGGAAGUUUGUGAUGCCCCAACGGUAGUCCCAUAUCAGACGGAAAAAAGAUUAUGCAUGUACAUAUAAGGGCUAAACUCUCUAGUACUAACAACUUAGGCUUAAGCAUUUUGAACUAGUAGUUUAGACCAGGUAAGUUAUUAGUGCUAGUGAACUCUGUAGCAUUAUGCUUGAGCACGGCUAUGAACAUCCCCGAGUGUUCCCAACUGUAAACUGACGAGAGAAAGGAAUAUCUUCUCUGGAGCAGGCAGAGCAGAACAGAAAAGGAGGAGUUUUAGAAUCAGAAAACAGAACUAGCAGCUCUGAAAUAGAAUGGAGACAGCACAGGAGGCGGCAAACCCUUCCCACGAACAACCAAUCCUCUGGUAAAGAAACACUCUCCGACUAUGUAAAUUGCACCAAGAGUCAUCAACUUUUUAAUCUUACUUUCAGCUUGAUCUCCAUUUCACAACCUUAAAAUAGAACACUUCGAUAGGAUCGAGUUCUGAGUAGACUUGCUGGGAUUUCAGCUUAGAAGAAUUCAGUUGAAUCCAUUUAGAAAUGACCAUAUGUUUUGAAGGAGUAAAAGAACUCCCAAAAUUCUUCAUGCAAAGUGAAAGAAUCUAGACACCGUCAAAUCAAGAUUUGCUUAAAGCCAGUUGGGUAAAAUUCCAAAGAAUUGGCAGGGAAAAAGAGGGGGGCGGGGAAAGGAGGGGGGGGGUUGUGUUUGGGAAUUAGCAAUCCAGAACAAGAAAUACAAAAAAAGAUACCAAAAGUGAACAUUUCAAAUAGUAAUUUGCAUGCAAAUGCAAAUGCCAAAACAGCCAUAGAAGACAUAAGCAUCAUAAAAUUCUACUUUUCUGAAAAAAUUACAACAAAUAGAAAACAGAGAGAGAGUAAACGGAGAAUAACAAAUAUACCAGUAUUAGUAUAGAUAAAUACAUCAAGAUGAAAAACCGAAAGAAACUUCAUUAAAAACAAAAGCAUCAUUAUUAAAACCACAAAAUUAUUACAAAAAAAAGAUAAGCAUGGUGUUUGGACAGGAAAGUAUGGCUCAGAUUCACCUAAGAUCAAUCAAAAGCAAAAAGUUUUUAGUCCGACAAUCCUACCAUGCAGUUUGAUAUGACCAAUUUGGUCUGAGGCACCACAUUAAGAUUCUGGUCUGAAAGGGCGUGGGUUCAAAUCCCAAUCCCAACAGAAAACAACAUUUCCGCCCACUGAGAUCCUUGUUAGUGGGUACUGCAUUGGUCAAAUACCAGGUCGCAGGUUCCAGGAUGUCCACAGACCCAUUACAUGGCUGAGCUCUAAGAUUGAAAGGGAAGUCUUCUUUGCAACAGAUGGACCAUGAAUCCAUGAGAAGUUAAAAAGAAAGAGGCAGGGUCUUAGAUUUUCGAAACAGUUAAAUUCUAUAAGGAGCUCCUUAAAAAGGAGGAUGGCUCCACUUGAGAACCCGUUAGAUAUGACUCGAAAUUUGGUCAUCGGUGUCGAUUUUGUCCCUAAUUUGCCGACAGCUUUGCGGUGCGACAAAUUUUGAAAAAUGAUUUGGAAAGGGAAAAGUGGAUGUCAGUGGUGGAAGCGGGGGACUCGGGCUGAUCCAAUACUAAAAUAAUUCGCUAAGAACUUCUCUUUUUUUUGCCCUAGAGGCAAUACAUUGCAUUGUACUUCCAUAAUAUUGUACUCCCUUAGGUAUAGUUUGGUUUGGGGAUAAGCAAAAAGUGGGUAUUCUAGGGAUAGGUAUAAAUUGAGGUAUAAGCGGGGAUUAGAUCAAUUUUGCGUUUGGAUGAAAAUUGGGUUAUUCUUGAGAAUAAGAAAAAUAGUGUUUGGUUAGGUAAGAUGGAAUAAGAAUUAAAGUGGGUAGUUAUAAAUAAAAAAUAAUAAUAUUAUUCUUUUCUUUAUAUUAGAAUUUGAAUUUUUAUAUUUUAUAUUUAUAUUUUAAAAUUUAUAAUUUUAACUUUUAAAUUUUAAAUUUUGAAAUUAAAAUUUAAAUUUAAAAUCUCAAAUUUCAAAUUUUAAAUUUCAAACUUUAAAUUUAAGAUCAAAUUUAAAUUUUAAAAAAAUAAAAUAUCAAAAUUAAAUUUAAAAUUUAUUUAAAUUUUAAAUUUUAAUUUAUUAUAAUAUUUAAAUAUAAUUUAUUAUAAAAUUUAUUACAAUAUUUAAAUAUAAAUAAUAUGUAUUAAUAUAGUACAAUUAAUAAUUUUAUAAUAAAAAUAAUGUAUUAUAAUAUAUAAUAUAUUAUAUUUAUAUAAUUUAGUUUUAAUUCAUUUUAUAAUUUUAAUUAAGUUUAAAAUUAAGCAUUGGAAUAGCACUAUUCCACCAAAAUGGUGGAAUAGUAAAAAGCUUGCUAUUCCGGGAUAACCGGGAAUAGCAAGCUUUGGUCGGGAUAAAAUAUCCUGGUAAAAAAUGACCCCGUUUGGCGGAAUAGCGGGGAUAACUUUCGUUAUCCCGUUUAUCCCCCGAACCAAACGGGGCCUUAGUGAAGUACUCUUCUUUUUCGCCCGUGAUUUUUUACCCUACAAAGGGUUUUCCAUGUAAAUCCUUGUGUUCUAUAUUUUCUUUUUCUGUUUUGUGAUUUGUCUACUUUGCGAUCGCCGUUUCUCGUUUCUGUUUGUGCGCUCCUCAUAACAGAACCCAACCCUGUCCGAGAAAAAGGCUUUCUAUAUAAAACUCAUAGCAUGCAGAAUGUUGCAUUGAGGAACAAAAUCUUCCUUGUGACCUUUAAACCAUGAGUAUCAAAGGAGAAGAGGAAGGAUUUACAUUUGAUAUAACAGAAUCAUCAGCUCUAGAGGAGAUGAUGAUCACAGAGAUCAAAGGAGGUGGCAAACCCUUCCCAAGAACACCCAAUCCUCCAUGAGCCUCAUAUAAGAGCAAGAAGUCAAGGCCUUCUAAUUCCAGAGGAGAAGUCUAGCAAAGGAGAAAUUAUUGCCUGCACCUGGUGCAUCCGGAAAUUCUAUACAUCCUGUCUUGCCAACAUAAACUUCACAGUAAUGAUGUUAAGUGAAUGCCGUGGCGUGGGGUCGUGCUAAGCACUUUCCGACAAAAUAAGGCACAAUGCAUGCUGUACUAUGCCAAUGUGUGCCUUCUACAAAAGUAACUUGGACACACUAUGGUAUAAAAAUAUAUACAUCUUUGGCACCGGCGUACUCUAAUUGCUUAUCUACUAAUUUAAAAGAAGAGGGUUUUGCUAUCGACAGAAGGGUUGUAUCAUGUCAAUAUCUUGUCGACCCGCUACGGCACUGGCGGUGACAAUGGCCACUUAAAUCCUUGCUUCACAGGAUAUAAUAUGACUCACAUAGAACUAAGUUCAAGAUUACCCUUUCAAUAGUCGAUGUGCUACCCCAACAUAAGAUUCAGCUGCUCAAAGGCCACAUGCACAAAUCAAUCAUCCAUGCCUCAUAAAUUUAUGUGCGUAUGCAUGUGUGCUUCUAUGUAUGUUAUUAUUAUGCAUAUUCCAAACAUAUAUACAUAUAUACACAUACAUAUGAGAGAGAGAGAGAGAGAGAGAGAGAGAGAGAGAGAGAACCCUGAUCGACCCAAGUAGGGAGAGAUCUCUCAGAUUGGCAAAAAUCAACAUUGCCUCUGAAAAACAAAAAGGAAAAGAGCAAAAGAGAAACCCAUUAACAGCAAUAAAAAAAGAGGCAAGGAAAAGGGGACUAAAAUUAAAAUUAACAGAAGCUUGAAAGAUAUCAUAGAGUUCGGACAAACCACAGUAAAUCAAAGCUCAGAGGCUAUCAGUAUAUAAAUAAAGGACAUAAAUAAUAUUACCAACAAAUAUAAGAGCAAAAAGCAAUAAAAUAAGAAAAUAUAGACCUGACAGUUCUGUAACAAAACCAAAAAUCCCACUGAUACAAAGGAUUAAAUAUAUAAAAGAAAUUCUCUGCAAGUGUAUGUUUCAAGAAAAAAAAGGGGCAAACAGAUAAAGAAAAAUGAUGAAUAGAAAAGGAAAAAGAUUUGCGAAGGGAGGCUCAGAUUUGCCUUUGAUCAGUCACAUAAUGAGUCAAUCCUCUCCUCUGCCCUUGUCCAAACCCAGCCCCUAUGAAAAACAAAUGGCUGCAGUAAUAUUAUCCAAUCCGCCUUGCCAUUUUAACUUCUAAUAGUUGAUCGAAGAAGAAAACACUCCACGUAUCCCCCGAAAUGGGGGCUAACUAUAGAAGAUUACUACUAAGGGGAUCUCAAUAAAGGCUAAAUUACAGAAAACACCCCUGCACUUUUGCAACCUGUAUCAAUUAUCCCUCAUAAAAGGAGACUUAGAUUCAUUGUUGUUGAUCAAUCAGAUGAAAAAAUAUGCCUCUUCUCUCCUCUUGCCUAAAUCAUUUCCCUCAGGGUUAACGGCUGCAGCAGUUGCACUGGUACCAUCCAUACUAUCUUUGCCAUCAUAAACUUUAACAAGGGAUCGGAAAGGAGCUUGAGACAAAGCAGUUGGAUUAUAAGAUUACCUGCUAAUGAGUGAUACACCAUCACCAGCUUUGCUUGUUCACCCCAAGCUGAUGCGCUCAUCAAUCAUCAUCACCGCCUCCUUAUAAUCACUCUGCUCAGAACCAAAUCAGAAUAGAAUUCUUUUUUUUUUUUUCCUUUUUACUGUAAGACAUUGUGAGUCCCUAUGCAGUUAGAAUAGGACUCAUUGAAUGCAAUUCAAAAGUAAACAAUUAAAUUCACUCAUUCAUUUAUGUGGUUCAAAAUGAAAGGAAGUAGGGAUGUAAACGGGUCGGAUAACAUCAGAACCAUGAUCUGGUUGGAACCGCGAUCUGAUUACAGAGCUCCCAUCAGAACCGCGAUCAGAUCGCGCAUUCCAAUUUGUGGAGGGUUCCCAAUCUGUAUAGCAAAAAGUGACAAAGACAAAUAAAAAAUAAAUAAAUAAAUCAAUCAAAUUGGUUGGUUAGAUUACCUUAAAUAAGUGUGUUUUAAAAGAUAGAAUAAUACGCAAAAAUCAUACCCCAAAAAAAGAAAGAGCUGGUGAUUAGAAGAGAAAUUCACAACUGGAGAUAAACAAAAGAAAAAUAUAUGUAGUAACAAUAUGUUAAGUUAUAUACACACACGCACUGGUUAUUCGAUGAGAACCAUGGUCGGACAAACGAUCUGACUAAUCCUAACCACAUUCUUGAGAAACUAGCAUACUGCAUCCCCAUAUACAGCAUGCCACAUCGUAUCCCAUUACCAGUAGCAUUGAUCCAUCUAACCUUGCUUCUGAACACAGAGUUUGCUAGACAAUGAAUUCAAAUUUCCUUAUCCAGCUUGAACUCAGGUGGGAACAAGAUUUCUAAACGUAAUUCGAAUGUGCAAAAGCAAAAUCCAAGCGGAAAUUUUAUUCGAAAUGGCUACGAUGAAGUAUUUAAGUGCCGAUUGGCAUGGGCCGUAUCGUGCCGACAAGAUAUAUGCACGAUACAGCCACUAUGCCGAUGACACAACUCAACACCCUCUAUUCUUUAAAUUAGUAAGUAAUUUUCUCAAUAAAGUUCAAAAGAUUUGAUAAAGAUAUAUAAUAAACGGUUAGAAUAUUUUGUUGCUAAAGAAAAUAAAUAUUUCAUGCCAUUGUGGGUUGGCACACAUAUAUUUUUUGUGACCGGCAAGCACAGUGCCGUACCGUGCCGGCAAGUUUCCGGCACGAACCCGUGCCACAGCACAAAUCAUUGGCUAAGAUAUUCCUAGGAUUAGCCCAAUGUAUAUAAAGGAAAGGUCAAGAAGGCUCAGAUUGGCUCACAUAUCAGGACAUGACGGCUUUUGGGCUCCCCAAAGUCUUGGAACGAAACACUGUUCUUAGGGACACGUUGUCUCUCCAUCUCCAGUUGCAUUAAAAGUGGGACAAAAUGGUUGCCUGCACAAGGCAGGCCAUCCACAAUUUGCCUUGCCAACUAUUUUGAAGUUCAAUGCAUCAAACUGCAACACAAAGAAAUACACUUGCCUAAACAAAAUUUCAGGAGAAAGUUCAGUGACCGAUGGUGCGAUUUACCCAAAGCAAAGCAUCAACACGAAAACCAUGAACCCCCAAACCCUAAAUUCAAUAUCUAAACCAACAAGGCUGCAGCUAGAAAUGGGGCUAUAUCCCUUCAAGUGGGCCAAAUCAUCAUUGCCUUUCAGAGGGAGGGUCAAAAUAAGAAAAGCCGAUAGCCAACAACAAAAAAAGAAGGGCCUGAGAAUGAACUUCUAGAGGGAGACAAGAACCACGAGCUCUCACUCUAAGAGAGACAGGGCAGCGCUUCCAAGCUUCCAUCUAGUCCUCACAAAAGUAGAUAAGUCACCAAAGUAAUGCUCAAAAUUUCAUGUUUGAGACUAACUUACGAAGCUAAAUGCAGUAAUAAGAUUUACCCAAUUUGGGGUAAAAUGUAUGGAACUAACCUGAACUAUAGGCCAUUUUGAAAUAGGCACACUUUCUCAAAGAGAAUAAGUGUAUUUGAGCACCAUCACAGGCUCCCAUGAACUCACCCCAAUUCAAUGAAGUACAACCCACAUUGUACAACAGUGCAAGGGACCCGUAGCAUACUCUUCAGAAACAGUGAUGAACUCACCAAUCAUCACUGUUUCAAGCUAUAGAACAAACAGGGAACUUGCAGCAGUACUGAGUGAAAUAGGUAUCUUUUUGUCAAAGAGGAGAAAUGGAUGAACUCACCAAUCAUCAUCACCUCCUUAUUAUCAUGCUUGCUAUUUUAUGUGUGUGCGUAUGAGAGAGAGAGAGAGAGAGAGAGAGAGAGAGAGAGAGAGAGAGGAGAGGAGAGGUGGGCUUUUUAAGAGAUCGCCUGCUCAGCCUGGAAGGGGUCCCAAUAUACUGCGUCUUGCAGAGGCUGAGAAUGAGGCAAACACUUCCAGAGGCAAAAAACCUUUAAUGUGUUACUCUGGGAUCCCAAGGGAGAUAGGCCCAGAUUUCAUAUCAGGGAAAUAUUUUGGCUAGAAAUACUUCGGCUUCUCCAGGGCACAAGAAAUUGCCUGCACCGGGUGUAUAAGUACAUCUCAUACAUCGCACUGCCAAAAUCAUAAGAUAGAGGCAUUAAAAUCAGAAGUAGAGGACCCAAAAUUUGCAUUGCCAACUGUUCUGAAGUUCAGUGCUUCAAACUGUAACUCACAAAUGAACUUGUUUAAAUGAAACUUAGCUGAAUGUUCAAUGACAAAUGGUGCAACUUACCCAAAAAGAAGCAUCGAAUCUGAAACACAGAACCAAAACCCAAAACCCUAUAUUCAACAUUCAAACCAACCAGUCUGCAUCCCAAACUAAAUUGACUUUUAAAAAGAAGGUAAAGGUAAGAAAAUAUGAUGGCCAGCAGCAGGACAAAAUAAUAAAAAUGAAACAAUUAAAAAGAAAAGCCUAAUAAUGAAUUUGGAAGGGACAUCGGAACCAUGAGAUCUGGCUUCAAGGAAGGCAGGGCAACCCUUCCAACCUUCCAACCUUUCCUAACAAGAGCCACGAAAUUUUCUAACUUAAUACUCAUAUAUAUCCCAUUUGCAACAAACUUGUGAACUUUGUUCGACCAUUGAUAAAAGGACCUCAAAAAGAACCCAAGAACCUUGAAAAAAAGGAUUAAACAACAAGAGAAUGAUGCUAUCGGUAACUCAGGAGAAGAAAAGGUUCACUGCAUUCAUGAUUUCACACAAGAUUGGUAACAAUUUAAUCAAACAUUUCAAAGCCGAUGCGUUGAUUUCAUAAAUCCUCAAGAAACAGCAAAGGAAUGUCAGGAAAAAAAAAAAAAGAGAAUAAGAAAACCCUUUGUAUUGUCUGAAAUCUGAACAGCAAAUCAGAUAAGUGGAAGAAUGUUAAUCUCAUUUGUAUCACCACGACCUUCUCCCACUGUCCCACCAUAGAAUAUCUCAUUAAAAACGGAGAAAAGAACACAGCAAUAGCAGCAAUACGUCGAAAAGAAAAGGAUUUUGUUAAAAACAUCAAUAUUCCACUAUAGCAGACUGACCUUCUAAGAACAAAACCACAAUAAAGCCACAAGACUGUGUGUUGGAAAUGGAAAGAAGAAUCAUAAUACUUAAAAAUUGAAGGGACAAAAAUUAAGAAAGGACUUCACGAAAAAUGUCGCAGAACCAAAGCAAAAACACUUGUUUAAACAACCCAAUGAAAGAAAAAAAAAACUCCAUAGAAUCUCAGCAAUAGUAAAAUAAUAGGGUUAAUUGCAUACAGCUCCCUGUAACUCCAAGAAGAAACACACACAUGGAAAUACAAUGAGAUUGGAGGAAGUGAGGCUCAGAUUCACCAUUGAUUGAUCAAAUAAACAAAUCUCCUCUCUCUCUCUCUCUCUCUCUUUAUCUCCCACGCUUCUUGUCCGAGUAAAACCCUUCAUAAGGGCAAAGGGCUGCAGCAGUUGCACUCAUGCCAUACAAGCUGCCUUGCCAUCUUGACCUUCAAAAUGGUAUGGUGUCAUCAAUCAUCAUCGCCUCCCCCUUGCAUACAUCAUUUCAACACACAUAUACAUACAUACAUACAUACAUACAUAUAUAUACACACACACACACAUACACAAGAAGGGGCAAGCUAGAGAGACUAGUCAAUCCGUCACCUCCAAGCUGCCGCAAAAACGUAAAUAAGGCGUUCACUAGCACAAAACCCUUAAAAAUGAACUCACUAAGAAUGUCGCAAAACCAAAGCAAAAACACUUGUUUAAACAACCCAAUGAAACAAAAAAAAACUCCAUAGAAUCUCAGCAUUAGUAAAAUAACCGGGUUAAUUGCAUACAGCUCCCUGUAACUCCUAGAAGAAACACACACUUGGAAAUACGAUGAGAUUGGGGGAAGUGAGGCUCAGAUUCACCAUUGAAUAUCAAAUAAACAAGUCUCCUCUCUCCCUCUCUCUCUCUCUCUCUCUCUAUUUAUCUCCCACGCUUCUUGUCUGAGUAAAACCCUUCAUAAGGGCAAAGGGCUGCAGCAGUUGCACUCAUGCCAUACAAGCUGCCUUGCCAUCUUGACCUUCAAAAUGGUAUGGUGUCAUCAAUCAUCAUUGCCUCCCCCUUGCGUACAUCAUUUCAACACACAUAUACAUACAUACACACAUACACAAGAAGGGGCAAGCUAGAGAGACAAGUCAAUCCGUCACCUCCAAGCUGCCGCAAAAACAUAAAUAAGGAGUUCACUAGCACAAAACCCUUAAAAAUGAACUUAAUAUACACAAAAUUUGUAAAUCAACAAUAAACUUCUCAACGGUUCAAGGGUUAAUUUUAUACAGUCCCCCAAAUCCGACCAUUAUUUCUAUUUCAACCUUUAAGUAGGCCAAAAUCAUCAUUGUAAAAGAAAAGCUAAGAAGCCAAGAAGGAAGCAAGGAAGAAUGGCUUGACAACACGCUUACAAUAGAGAUAAGAAACCAUGGGCUUCUAGUACGGAGAGGUAGGGCAGCCCUUCAAACCUUCCAUCCUUUCCUCACAAAAACUCGAGGAUUUUCAGUGUGUCGCUCAUGUAGUAUAUCUGGAUCAAAAGCAGAGGAACUUCCUAUAGAAUUUCUUUUUGAGCAAUGCUACUGAGCAGCAUACUGCCUCAAAAGUGGAGGAGCUAGGGAUGCCAAUGAGUUGGAUGAAUAUCAGUCCAACCCGGUUCCAAAUCCGAGUUUUUCCAGAUCCGUUCAGAUUUAUUAAACUAACCUGAAAAAAGCGCAAAACUAGUGGAUUUUUUAUGCAAAUUGGCAUUCCAUGAACUAGCCAGUUAGGUAUGAAGAAACUGAGAAGAAGGCUCAGAAUGGCCCGUUUAUCAGACACAACACUCGCUGGUUUUCUCAAACUAGAAGCAAGAAACAACAGGGGGCAUGGCUAUGUCCGGGAGUGACAGACUGUUUUUAGGCUCACCAUCCAUUCAGCAUAUCUUUUUUACUUCAUAUCUAAAGAGGCGAGCAAAUGGUUGCCUGCAGAAGGCAGACCAUCCAAAUUUGCCCAAAAAGUUUAGGGACCAGCAGUGCAAUUUACCCAAAUAAAGCAUUAAGAACUCGGACCAUGAACACCCCAAAUUCGAAAUUCGAGAACUAAACCAGCAAGUCUGCAUCCCAAUUUAGGAUAGUAUCCCCUUGGGCGGGCCAAUAUCAUCAUUGCCAAACCAAAAGAACAGCUGAUCACCGGCAACUGGAGCAAAAAAAGAGGAAGAUGCUCCUAAUAACGACAGUGCAGGGCAGCCUUUCCAAUCCCCAAAGCUCACAAACAUUUAAGGGGCUGUUUGGUUCAACAUUCGUAAUAUUCCAGGAAUGCUGUAUGUUUUAUAUGUGGACUAGCAAGUUCGUAACAUUGAUGAUCAUCUAAGAUGAUUACAUCAAUAUAUAUAUAUAUAUAUAGAAUUAGGCUACUAUUAUAUAUAUAUAUAUAUAGAGAGAGAGAGAGAGAGAGAAUUAUGCUACUAUACUAUCGAUAGUACUAAGCGUUUGGUGCUAUCGAAUUUUUGACCGUUGGAUUAAAGGAUGUGCAGUUAGGAUGAUAGCAGCCUCCUAGGGUUGAGUGGAUGGUUGGUUGAAUAGAAUAAUCUAACGGGUGAAAAUGAUCAAAAUGAUAGAUCUAACGGCGGAAAACUUGGUAGCACUAAGUGCUUCGUGCUAUAUAUAAGAGUAUAUACGGUAUAUACGAUCAAAACAGCUAUGUAAUCAGUAACUUUAAUUGAGAAAAAGAAUAUCUAUUGAACUGUAUGAUAAAAUUUAUUUCAAGAAGGGGCAAGCUAGAGAGACUAGUCAAUCCGUCACCUCCAAGCUGCCGCAAAAACGUAAAUAAGGCGUUCACUAGCACAAAACCCUUAAAAAUGAACUCACUAAGAAUGUCGCAAAACCAAAGCAAAAACACUUGUUUAAACAACCCAAUGAAACAAAAAAAAACUCCAUAGAAUCUCAGCAUUAGUAAAAUAACCGGGUUAAUUGCAUACAGCUCCCUGUAACUCCUAGAAGAAACACACACUUGGAAAUACGAUGAGAUUGGGGGAAGUGAGGCUCAGAUUCACCAUUGAAUAUCAAAUAAACAAGUCUCCUCUCUCCCUCUCUCUCUCUCUCUCUCUCUAUUUAUCUCCCACGCUUCUUGUCCGAGUAAAACCCUUCAUAAGGGCAAAGGGCUGCAGCAGUUGCACUCAUGCCAUACAAGCUGCCUUGCCAUCUUGACCUUCAAAAUGGUAUGGUGUCAUCAAUCAUCAUUGCCUCCCCCUUGCGUACACACACACACACACACACACACACACACACACACACACACACACACACACACACACACACACACACACACACACACACACACACACACACACACACACACACACACACACACACACACACACACACACACACACACACACACACACACACACACACACACACACACACACACACACACACACACACACACACACACACACACACACACACACACACACACACACACACACACACACACACACACACACACACACACACACACACACACACACACACACACACACACACACACACACACACACACACACACACACACACACACACACACACACACACACACACACACACACACACACACACACACACACACACACACACACACACACACACACACACACACACACACACACACACACACACACACACACACACACACACACACACACACACACACACACACACACACACACACACACAUACACAAGAAGGGGCAAGCUAGAGAGACUAGUCAAUCCGUCACCUCCAAGCUGCCGCAAAAACAUAAAUAAGGCGUUCACUAGCAAACAACCCUUCAAAAUGAACUCACUAACAAUGUCACAGAACCAAAGCAAAAACACUUGUUUAAACAACCCAAUGAAAGAAAAAAAAAAACCUCCAUAGAAUCUCAGCAUUAGUAAAAUAAUAGGGUUACAGCUCCCUGUAACUCCAAGAAGAAACACACACUUGGAAAUACAAUGAGAUUGGGGGAAGUGAGGCUCAGAUUCACCAUUGAAUAUCCAAUAAACAAAUCUCCUCUCUCUCUCUCUCUCUCUCUCUCUCUCUCUCUCUCUCCCACGCUUCUUGUCCGAGUAAAACCCUUCAUAAGGGCAAAGGGCUGCAGCAGUUGCACUCAUGCCAUACAAGCUGCCUUGCCAUCUUGACCUUCAAAAUGGUAUGGUGUCAUCAAUCAUCAUUGCCUCCCCCUUGCGUACAUCAUUUCAACACACAUAUACAUACAUACACACAUACACAAGAAGGGGCAAGCUAGAGAGACAAGUCAAUCCGUCACCUCCAAGCUGCCGCAAAACAUAAAUAAGGAGUUCACUAGCACAAAACCCUUAAAAAUGAACUUAAUAUACACAAAAUUUGUAAAUCAACAAUAAACUUCUCAACGGUUCAAGGGUUAAUUUUAUACAGUCCCCCAAAUCCGACCAUUAUUUCUAUUUCAACCUUUAAGUAGGCCAAAAUCAUCAUUGUAAAAGAAAAGCUAAGAAGCCAAGAAGGAAGCAAGGAAGAAUGGCUUGACAACACGCUUACAAUAGAGAUAAGAAACCAUGGGCUUCUAGUACGGAGAGGUAGGGCAGCCCCUCAAACCUUCCAUCCUUUCCUCACAAAAACUCGAGGAUUUUCAGUGUGUCGCUCAUGUAGUAUAUCUGGAUCAAAAGCAGAGGAACUUCCUAUAGAAUUUCUUUUUGAGCAAUGCUACUGAGCAGCAUACUGCCUCAAAAGUGGAGGAGCUAGGGAUGCCAAUGAGUUGGAUGAAUAUCAGUCCAACCCGGUUCCAAAUCCGAGUUUUUCCAGAUCCGUUCAGAUUUAUUAAACUAACCUGAAAAAAGCGCAAAACUAGUGGAUUUUUUAUGCAAAUUGGCAUUCCAUGAACUAGCCAGUUAGGUAUGAANUGGCCCCCUAGGGUUGAGUGGAUGGUUGGUUGAAUAGAAUAAUCUAACGGAUGAAAAUGAUCAAAGGGUAGAUCUAACGGCAGAAAACUUGAUAGUAUCAGGAACUUGGUACAAUCGAUAGUAUAGUAGACGGACUAUAUAUAUAUAUAUAUAUAUAAUAUUUGUUUGCAAUGAUACAUAUACACCGAAAAGUAGGGCGUAAAUGUAUCAAACUAAGAUCUACAACCAAAGACGAGGUUGUAAUCUUACAACACCACCAUCCAUCCAGGGACCAAUAUUAUUAUUUCUUUUCCUCAUCACUCCCUUUUUCUUCUAGGGAGUAGUCUAAAUCCCGGGCCGGAGGGAGGGUCGUAAGAUUACAAUCCCUUUUUUGGUUGUAGACGUCAGUGUAUUUUUCCCAUUUUGAAGGAGACAUGCUAGGUCUUCGACCGAAAAGGAGAGGCACCCUUUCGCAAAACAUAAGAGAGAGUAGUAGCAGUAGCAGCAGCAGCAGCAGUAGUAGAAGAAGAAGAAGAAGAAGAAGAAGAGGGAGCAUAGCAUCACAAGGGGCAACAUCAGUUUUUGGGAACCCUGUAGCUUUUACUGGAAGAGGAGAAACGGCUAGCAGCUUACCAAGUAACAUCACCUCCUACUUAUUUUGUAUGCUAGAGAGAGAUCUAGAGAGAGAGAGAGAGAGCGUGUGUGUGUGUGAGAGAGAUCUAUAGAGAGAGAGAGAGAGAGAGUGUGUGUGUGUGUGUGUGUGUGUGUGAGAGAGAGAGAGAGAGAGAGAGAGAGAGAGGGUUUUUGAGGAGAGAGAGAGAGAGAGAGAGAGGAAACCCUUUGUUGUUGCGGAGGAGAGAGCACCAACUGGGCCUGAGGAGGAAGAGGAGCACUCGAUCGAUCCCCUCCCCUCCCACUGUGGAGGAAUUCUACACUGUCACACCUGCACCACGUUGUAUUCUAGAAUUUUUCCCCACUCUGCCGUUUGCCCUGGAACCCAUUUUCUGGUUAUAUAUUCCCGUGGGAAGGGAAAACACAGAGUCAAGCAAUUACAAGGCUUAAGCACUAUCAUCUAUACAUUUAAAUAAGGAAUUGAGUUCCUGUACUUUUAAUAGUAUCAUCAUGUCAUAUAUAUAUAUAUAUAACCUUUAAACUAAAAAUAUAUAUAAUUAGAAUGGUUAUAGUCUUCUAAAAUUAAAUAGAUAGUUGAUUAAAUAAUAUAAUUUAAUCAAUGAAAAUAAAAAAUAGAUAUAACCACAGAAAAUUUAUAAAUACCAAAUGCACGGUGCUUGAACUCCUAAAUAAACAUACUAUUAUUACUUGAUAUUCCUUCAAAGCUGCACAGUAAUUUUUCCUUUCUCCUCUCCCCCAUGCGCCUUUCUGUCUCUCUCCUAUGUGUGUGUGUGUGUCUCUCUCUCUCUCUCUCUCUCUUGGCGAUAUUGUAUCCCUUCUAUAUCUCUCUCUCCUCGAUCUUAUCACUUUUUUCUUUUUUCUCUCUCCUCCUCCUCCUCCCGUGCUUCUCGCUCUCUCUUUCCUUCAUUUGACCUUUCUUGUUCUCCCUGAUUUUUGACCGGUUAUAAUUGAAUUGAUCAUUAUGAUGAAAUUUUUUGUAACUGACUGUGUUUUAACUUUGCCUAUAGAGAUAAAUCUAGGUUAGAGGUGGGAUUGCCCUAACCUCUGAUGCGACCCAACUUUUUUUUUUAAUAGUUUUCUUUUAUUAAACAAGUUCAAAUUUAAAUAUCUGUUAUUUAGGAAUAUAAUUAGGGAUAGUCAAUUAUCUUGUUAGGAAAUGGUUAGAAGUAGUUGAACUCUAUAUAAUGUAACCGGGGCGUUACAAGAAACUAUCAAGUAAAAUUAUCUCUUUUCCCUCAUAUCUUGUCCCUACCUCUCAAUUUCUUAAUUCUCUGGAGGCUCGAUCCCCUCGAAGUGAUCGUUUAUCCCUAUUGAUACGGUAGGAUCGUAUCAACCUCUCUCUCUUCUCCUCUUUACCUUAUUUGUGCCUCUCUCUCUCUUCUUCUCCUAUGUCUUUCUUUCGCCAAGCUUUUUUCUCUCCUCCGAUACUGGUCUUUUUCUGUUUGCUCUUCUCGCCCUAUUUCUGGAGCAUUCAAAAAUUAUUAUUUUACAAAAUUUUAUGGGGAAUGCAAAAUAUAUAUUUAGAUUGUCAUGAGAUAGGGUCCCUAUAUUUCUCUCUUAUACUUCUACUUUGCUGGGAGAGAGAAAUGAUUCUAUUAAGAAGUGCUGAUUAGACAGUGACAACUAAACAUCUUUUAUAAUAAAUUCAUUGUGAACUUCCAUCAAUUUUCUUUUUAAUUUUUUUCUGCUACUUUUUAAAUAUUUUCUUUUUCUUAUCAAAACACACUGAACAUUCCUGCUGCAACUUUCAACCAGUUUUAAUAAUAUUUUUGAAAACAAUAAUAACUCAAGAUAGGAAUUUUUUUUUAAAAAAAAAAAAAACCUAAAAUACAGUAUGAUGAUAUAAUGAAACUAAGCCUAGAUCUUUUGACCCAAACCAGUCCAUUCCAGUAAGUGCCCUCUUAUACCCAUCCAUCCUUACAUAAAGAGUUACAAAUAACCCAGCAAAAUUUGCAACCAAACUACUAAUUGAAGAUACAAUGCUUGAAACUGAGAGGCUAUUUACAAUUUUGGAUACAGAGCUUGCAACAAGAACCGAAAUGUAAGGAUCUGGUAGAAACAAUUAAAAGAUUGCAGACCAACCGAUAAUAACAAAGAAAGUUCGCAAAAUCCUUGAGCAGUCUGUCAAUACAAGUACAUAGCACAAAACAAAAGCAUAGACUCCUUUUCCUUUCUUCAGUAUUAGAUCACGGCUCACUUCCGCCAUUGAAUGAUGAAAUAAGCUGAUCCCUUGCAGCUGAUUUCUCGCAUCCCUUCGUCACAUCCAAAUCAGACUGCUCGAAGGGCACCAUCGUAGCUGCCUUUGCCACUGUAAACUACAUAACUGUUGAGUUCAUUAAUCAUCGUCACAUCUGUAGAUGUAAAUAUACAUUUAUAUGUACAAAUAUACGUAUGUACGAAUGUACAUACACAUAGACAAAUGGAAGUAAUGCGGUUGGUGAUGUAGAAAUUACUAAGUACUAUAUCAACAUGACAUCAUCAUCCAGCUACUUAAAUGGGACUAUAAAGCUUGAUUGCAACAAUUUAUAGAGUUCGAGCAAAAAAUUUCAAUAAAUUAAAAUAUGAGGACAAAAGUGUCACCCACCUUACAGUUCGAGGGCCCAAGUAUAAUUUUGCCUAUACACAUAUAUGCAUAAACGCAAGCAAACAUAGACAAGAUGCAGGGAAAAGAGACAGAUUAACUGUUGCAAACACUGAAAGAGAGUUCAUUCCCGGAAAAUCCAUACAAAUGUAAGUGACAUACCCCGAAUUUGUUGAUGAAUAGGUAUUCGAGUCAGAAAAUCUCACAAUGAGAAUGAAGAUGCAAAAACUGAAAAAGGUGAAAAAUUGCAAAACAGAAAAAAUUAUAUUUUACAUGGGAAAAAAAACUAAAAUAAUAAGGACAAUUUCACACGCAGAGUACUGCUCUCAAUUUAGCUAACUUGAUUUUGAAGGGAAAAUGGAGGCUCAGAUUGAUCCAUCUAUCAAGCAUGACAAUUUAAUGCUAGGGAUAAAAGCACCAGAACCACCCGAACUUUAACCUGCUACCACUUGUUUUGGGGAUAAGUGCAGAAAAGACUGUCUAAACUUCAGCUACCUUGCACAGAAACCACAAGAAUAUUUACCAUUUCUGCAAAUUGCCAUCUAAACUUGAAAUUUUCAUACCUAGCACCCAAACAUUCAAAUAUAUUAUAUUAACAACUUUAUUUUCAAACAAGAAAACUCCCCUUUGUUUCUUGAUCAUCGAACUAAUAGCCAUUGCUCCAAACAGGAAAUCUCCUUGAUUCAUUGGAAACAAUCAAGUAAUUAGGAUGCCGAACAUAAAAUUUUCCAAAGUUUCAAUAAAUACCUGCAGAUGGGCAGAGCUUCAGGUAGCUCCGGUGCAGUUGGCCCUUAACUUUGUGUCUCUCCAUCUCUAUUGGACCUAAAAGCAGGGGCAAAUGGUUGCCUGAGAGGCAACAGACCAGCCAAAAAUUGCCCUGCCAAAAUUUUAGAACCAUAGCGCAUGGAGAGAAAAGAGCAGUAUGAACAGAGAAAACUUCGAAAAUCCAAAACCCUAAACCUCAUACGCUAAUCAGAUAUCAAAACUCAAGCUUGCAAGGCAAAAUUGUCAAAGCAAACCUUUCUACAGUGGACCAAAAUCAUCAUUGCCUCAAAGAGAGAAAAAAGAAAGGGUAUCCAGCAGCGAUAGCAGCGGCAGCAGCAAAGAAAUUAGCAAAAGCAUAACAAUGCUCUUAAAAUGGCAUUAAGCUUAAGAAUCCUUCAGCGUAAACAUUGUACAUCCUAUCAGAUCCAACAUGGUGGACAAGGACUAGGCAAUAAUUUCUCAGACAGCAUGGCUUAAUGGUCAACAAAAGUCGUGAUCAGCUUCUGUUGGGCUCCGCCACACUCUUGGUAGAAAAAGCCCCUAAGCCACCGUUUGGUUCGGGGUUGAGUAAAAACUUGUUAUUCCAGGAAUAGAGUUAAAUUCAGGGUUAAGGUGGGGUUAGAGUAAUUUUGUGUUUGGUUGAGAAUUGGGUAUAGUCUAGGUAUAGGUAAAAUAGUAUUUGGUUGGAGUAGAUGGGAUAAGAAGGAUAGUGGAUAAAACAGUGUUUUGUUUGGUUGGAGUAGUGGAGUGGGGUGGGGUUAGCUAACCCAACCCUCCAAAUUGGGUGUUUGGGAAUAACUUCGGGGUUAAGGGGUUAUUCCACCCCUUAACCCCGAACCAAACGGGUGCUAAGAGAACAGGACUCCUCAAAGUAUAGUAUAUGAAAAUACAGAAAACGAAUUAUGAAUUCUUCAUCUCAAAGUAUAGCAUGAAAAUACAGAAAACAAAUUAUGAAUUCUUCAAUGAGGCAGUGUAGAGAAAUAAAACGUGAAGAUUCAGAUUACCCCGUCAAUAGGACGAGAAAUCCAGAAUUUCCUCCAUAAGAUGAACAUACGGAUAGGCAAUGCAGAGACUUACAUAUGCACCAGGGUGUAGGCAGCAAUUUUUCACAGUUUUGCGACUUGCUAUCUCUCCAGGCCUGAAGAGUGGCUGCAAACGGUUGCCUGCUAAACACAGACCAACCGAAAUUUGCCUUGCCCCUCAAUACACAGGAGAAAAUAGCAGCAUAUACAAAACGUGCACCAAAACUCCAAACCCUGAAACAAAGUACGAAAUCCAGAUUCCAGGAUCUGCAUUAACAAACCUGCAGUCCAAAUCACGUAACAUCCUUCUGGGCGUGCCAAAGCUUCUACGAGAAAGAAAAAGAGAAUACAGCAGAACCAGCAAAGAAAGGCAAGAUGAAAGACAAAGAAAACAAGAAGAGGAAAGAAUAAGAGAAAGGACUCGAGAUUCCAAAAGAAGAAUCACCGGCCAUGGGAGUGAUGAUAGAGAGAGCAAAGGAAGCAAAUCCAUCUCUCUAAUUCUCUUGAAAUCACUCCAAUGGGAAGAAUACACUACCACAGCCCACGACAUGGUGCAGGCAAUACUUUCUCCUCUCCACACCAUAAGAAUAAUAUGGAUAUUCGGAUCUACAGGGUGCAGGCAAUAAUUUCUCAUAGUUGUGAGGGACUCCAUACAUUUUUACAUUAAAAUAACUAAAAAAGAUAGAUUUCUUGAAAUAAAUUUCUAUUAGAUUAUAGAAACAAGUGCCUUCAAAAACCAUCAUGAUAACAACUAAACUAUAAAUUAUUGGCUAUUUAUUAUUAGCUAAAAUAAGUCCAAUUUCCUAUCCCAUGAUAAUAUGCCCAAAAGACUAAUAAGUUGAGUUGGAUAAGCCCAACAAGUUGAGGGAGACUGCAAUCCGCAAUACACCUAACAGCAAGAGGCCCAACAAUAGACAUAACAUCCAGGUGAUGCAAGUCAAGUCGAAGCCGGUGAGCGCUAUAGUUGAGCCCUUAAGUGCGAUGGAUAUGCCCUUCCUAUUAGGGCUUGCUUUUUGGAUAGUUGGUUAGCGCUUACGAUCCAUAUCCAUAUACAUAAGUGAAAAAAAGGAAAAUAUUUUGUGAAAAGCAUUGAAUCCAAAACAAAUGCAUACAUCUCUUUGGAGAUAUCUGAUAAAAUGGAAUGAUAUAGAGAAGAUUAGCAUGGCCCCUGCACAAGGAUGACACGCACAGAUCAAGUCAAUGCACACGAUUUAAUCAUGAACAGAGGUACUCACAGUCCACUACACUGCCGCAAGCAAAUGGAUCUUUUACAACAAUGAAACACAUUUAGUUUGCAUUAGAAGCUCCAUUAAGGAAAAUACUGCAAAAGUCAAAGGGAAAGGUAUUACAAAGAAAUGUGAAGUCCAAAGCUCCGAUCAAAACAAGUUACAUGUUAAGUUUAUAAUUGGCAGUUAUUAAUAUUAUAGUAACUCUAUAGAGUUGAUCACAUUGCUGAAGAGAGGAUGAGAUUGCGAAGAUAGCUCAGAUUCGCCCUUUGAUUGAUCACAUAGAUCACUCCCCUCUCCGCCCAUUCAAAUCAAACACUUAAUGAUGAAUGGCUGCAGCAGUCACACUGACCCAUCCAAGCUACCUUGCCAUUACAGUCACCAUUUUCUUAACGUGUGUGUGUACCUAUGCAUAUGUAGGGACAUACACACACGCGCGCACACGCACACACACAAAAACAAACACGCACACACACACACACACACAAUAGGUCCGUCUUGCAUGCAUGCAAACAAAAACAAACACGCACACACACACACACACACACACACACACACACAUAAUCAAUUUAUCUAUCUACCCAUCCAACCAUCGAUAAUAUACAAGGAGCGGUAAAGAGUGACUACACUCAAAUCAUUGCCUGCCAAACUGCAGCAAGAAACACAAAAUGUGGUUUGUUACACAAAAUUUUAACAAGUGAACUUUGUGUGCUAAACUUGUAAUCUUUAAACACAUUUAGGCCUGCAAAGGUCGCAAUCAAGGGGUGAAAAAAAGAAAAAAAGGUGCCAAAAAGUUGUAAAACUAAGAAAAGGUAAACCUUUUAUUCAAAUGGCAUAAAGAAAAAGGCCAACUUAAUACAUAGUAAAAGGUAAAAUUCUUGUCAUACUCAACUGGCUAUAAGAGACAGGUGAGGAUGGCUCAGAUAUUGGCCCAUCAAUCAAGCGUAACGAUUGCUUAAACUCCUCAAUAUUGAAGUAAAUGACAAUGCUAUAAAAAAGUACAGGGCAAUCUUCUGAACCAACAAACUAUUUUUAGUUGUCACCAUUCUUUUCAUCUUCAUUGGCCUAAAAGUGGUUGCAAAUUGUUGAUUACGUAGAAGACCAGCCGAAAUUUGCCUUGCCAACAUAUUAAUGCCUUAGAUGACGAGAAAAGAGAAGUGAGCACACAAAGUGUCAAAACCCAAAACCCUAAACCCCAAAACAUAAACCGAAGAUUGAUAUGAAUGACUAAGCAAUUCCGCACCAUAAAAUUAGGAAAAUAUCCUUUGCUCAGGCCAAAAUCAUCAUUGCCUUGAAUAGAAUAGAAAAGAGAAGUAAAAGGUACCCAUCAGCAGAAGGGGCAAAGAGGGAAGCACGUCCUUAUAAUUAGGGGUGUUCAUGGGAAUCGAAGAAGCCGAAAGCAUAACUGAACCAAAGUUUCUUUUUUCUUUCUUCCCAACACAUGUUUGAUUCCAGUACACAGAAUUCCAAAAACCAGAUUUUCUGGUUCGGUUAUGUUUUGCAUUUUUUCUCCACAAAGUAAAAAAUAAAUAAAUAAAUAAAAAUCAGAAAAACAGUUAACCCAUCCGAACCAGUUUGGUUCAUAAACAUCUAAAGUUGUUCCAAUUCACUUUUCUUUGGUCCUUCUAGUUCAAAAGCAAAGCCCCUACCAAUCUAGGGUUUCAAGAUCACCAACCUUUAUCACAUCUCCUCCUUCGACGCGCCCCUUCUCCUCUGGUGGCUCCCCCACCAAACCAUCUCUCUCUCUCACUUAAAUCUUAUUCGCCACCUGCUCACUCUUAGACACCACCGUCAACACUGUCAAUGCCAAACAGGCUAACCAGUUUGCCAUACCGGUUGAAACCAAAAAACUGGUGGUUUUGCAACCUGUUCAUAUUUUGUCCAAACCGGUCCAGUUAAUUAGACUGGUUUCACCCCUACUUAUAAUGAACAUACAAAGUAGAUAUGAUUGCUUUGAGGAAAGUUUGUGAGGAGGCCUUCAAACUUUCAUCCACGCAACACAUAACUUGCUACUCAUAAUGAACAUGUUAGGGCAUAAAAAAUAUAAAAGUUUUUCCCUAACAUUUCCAAAUCAGAUCCAGGAAAAGGGAGAUAAAAAAAAAAGAGAUCCAAAACUAGAUUAAUAAGAAUAAAAAAUACCGAAGUGCCUGUGAAGCAUCUCCUAGAGAGAGAUUGCAACUAAAGGAAACAAGACAUGGCUUCAGAUCUAACGAAGUUUGCAACACAUCUGUAAACAAUAUGUGAAAAAGAAGCAUAAACACUCCCUAAAUCGACAAAAAAAGGAAAAAAGUACCUCCAAAUCGGAUCUAACUUCAGUUCGAAAACAAUGAGUUUUAGCGAGAGAGAAGUGAUUAAAUAUGUAUGCGAAAAUGGCGAAUGGAGGGAAGGAGAUCACAAAGAUUACCUGGGAGGACGAAGUAGUAGAAGAGGAUAGGUGUUCGUGCGAGAGAGAGAGAGAGCAGCGUGCAACAAUACUCGCCUUCAGUAAUCCAAUAUACGCACCCCCCCCCUCCCCCCUUCGGUAAUAUUUUCGGUGUAAUCUUACACCUUUUGUUAUGCUGAAAUACCAAAUAGAUUACAUAUUGAAUGAACCAAAUGCAGUAAUCCUGACAGGAUUGCAUGUAAUCCUGCAAGGAUAACCGAACCAAACGCACCCUUUAUGUAAUGCUUCUAAAUCAUGCCUGACAUGGUGGACCAAAUCCAGCCAAUAAUUUCUCAAAGAGUAGGGCUGCCAAAUUAACUUACUCUUGCAAACAGCUUGUGUGUAGCUUGAAGCUCAAUUGAGUUGAUUACAUUGGCUGCUUUAAGAAAUAAGCUGAGCAUGAGAUAGGAGUGAAAACGGAUACAAAUCAGCAAAGUAGAUAAAUCAUAUCUGCACCUAUAUUCCAUAUUUCUUUUCCAAAUUCUUUUGUUUUUCCCCCUUCUCCUGAAUAUGGAAACAGAAGAUAUGUGGAUUCUAAAGUUGGAAAUCAUAUUUGAAUAAAAAGCUACAGAAUAAAACUAAAACUUGAUAUAACAUAAUUGUACUAUAAAUAUGUAACAUAUCUUGAAAAAGUGUAAAAUAAAUCAAUAAGGAACUCAUACAAAGAUUCAAGGGAAACAAGCAAUAAAAGAAGAAAACCAGGAAGUAUGCCUCUCACAAAACACAAAACCCUCACACUACCAACAUCAAAAGGUUAUCUGGAAAAAAAGGAAUAAAGAUCAAGUAGCACAAGAAGCUACAGAAUGGUUUAUAAAAGUGGAAACUUCGACAGAUUAAACUCUCGAGAUUGAGACCAACUGCAACAGAUUUAAUGCCUUCCUAUUCAGUUUCAAAGCUAAGCAUAUCCAACUACAACAGAUUAAGCUCUCGAGAGUCAAGACCAACUGAAAAUUCACGUAAGUUCAGGUACCAAUAGUGCAAUUUACCCAAAUAAAGCAUUAAAGCUGAACACCCCAAAUCCUGAUUUCGAGAACUAAACCAGCAAGCCUGCAUCCCCAAGUUAGGGUACUGUCUUUUUGGGUGGGCCAAGAACUAGAAACACAGAUGGAGAUACAAUGAGAUUGGAGGAAGGGAGGCUCAGAUUCACCACUGAUUGAUCAAAUAAACAAAUCUCCUCUCUCUCUCUCUCUCUCACUUUCUCUCUAUCUCCCACACUUCUUGUUCAAGUAAAACUCUUCAUAAGGGCAAAGGGCUGCAGCAGUUGCACUCAUGCCAUACAAGCUGCCUUGCCAUCAUGACCUUCGAGAUAGUAUGGUGUCAUCAAUCAUCAUUGCCUCCCUGUUGUGGACAUUAUGUCAACUUACAUACAUUUAUACAUAUACGUUAUACACAAGAAGGGGCAAGCAAGAGAGCUUAAUCAAUCCAUCACCUCCAACCUGAGGCAGAAACAAAAAUAAGCCGUUCAAUAGCACAAAACCCUCAAAAAUGAAAAUGUAUCCAAAAUUUGAAAAUCGACAAUUAACUUGUCAAAGGUUCUAGGGUUAACUUCAUAUGUAGUUCCUGAAAUCCGACCAUUAUUUCCAUUUUGGCCUUUAAGUAGGCCAAAAACAUCAUUGCCUUUCAAAAAGGAAAAGAUAAGAAGCGAAGAAGGAAGUAAGAAGGGCUCAACAAUGCACUUAUAACAGCAAUGAUAACCACAGGCUGUUAAUAACAAGAGGUAGGGAAGCUGUUCAAACCUUCCAUCCUUCCCUCACAAAAACUCGAGGAUUUUCAGUGUGUCGCUCAAAUGUUGUCUGGGUCCAUUUUAAUGCAUCAAAAGCAGAGGAGCUGCCUUUAGAAUUUCUUUUUGAGCAAUGCUAUGAAGUUAGGGAAGCAAAUGGGUUGCAUAAUAUCCGUCCAACCAAGCUUCCAAAUCUGAAUUUUUCCAUCUCUCCUGGCCUGAAGAGUGGCUGCAAAUGGUUGCUUGCUAAAACACAGACCAACCAAAUUUGCCUUGCCCCUCAACAGGAGGAAAUAGCAGCUUGUACAAAAACCAUACCAAAGCUGCAGACUGUGAACCACAAACCUUGAACCCAGAUUACCGACCGUCCCUAGCGCAGGAAGCACUGAGCCAUAUGCUUAAGUUUUUUAUUUUUUUUAAUAGAAAAAAGGAAAAGAUGUUGCGAAGUUUUGAAAUCCAACAAAAUCAGUCAAACUGCACACAUCGCUUCAGAGACAUCUGAUAAAUUGGAACAAUACAGAGAAGAUUAGCAUGGUCCCUGCAGAUCCAGCCAAUAAUCUUCCAAGAGUAGGGCUGCAAUCAAGUUAACACAAUUGACUACUUUCGGAAACAAGCUGAGAAUGUGCUAGGGGUGAAAAUGGAUCGAACACAAAUCAGCAGAGUAGCUAAACCAUAUCUACAUCCAUAUUGCAUAGUUCUUUUCCAAAUUCUUGCUUUAUUUUUUAUUUUUUAUAUUGGAAAUCAAGUUUAAUAACAUAUAUUAAAAUAUCUACAAUGUUCUUCAAAACUUCAAAAAACUUUAUUUACCCCUGGAGGACCAACAUACCCUUAUUGAUUUCAAAAAAUUCAUUCAUAUAUCCCCUAGAGGAAAUGGGGAUAUAUGAAUGAAUUUUUUAUUUUUUAUAUUGGAAAUCAAGUUUAAUAACAUAUAUUAAAAUAUCUACAAUGUUCUUCAAAACUUCAAAAAACUUUAUUUACCCCUGGAGGACCAACAUACCCUUAUUGAUUUCAAAAAAUUCAUUCAUAUAUCCCCAUUUCCUCUAGGGUUUACAAUGGGUUGGUUUUAAAAGGAUACUUUGGUAAGUUUAGGGUAAAUUUGAAAAUUUUGAGUAAGACCCUCAAGAAAAUUUACAACAAAUCAAUAGAUACAAGGAUUUAAGGAAAACAAGUAAUAAAAGAAGCUAAGAAUUAAUAUGCCAGCUACAAAACACAAAACCCUCAGCCUAACAAGAUAAAGCAGCUGUCUGGGAAAAGAAAGAAAGAAGGAAAAGUAGAAAGCAGCUGCAGAAUUGUUUAAUAAAAGUGGAAAUGUCAACAGAUAAAAAUAAUUGAAAGAAAAGGAAGAGGAUGGUGGAAGGGACAUCAAAUUCAUCUUUGUUUGGUCAAAUAAAUAGGGAUAAUUUCAUAUGCACCCUUUAGUCCAUUAAAUCUUCAAUCAACCCACCCACUCAACCAUAGGACCGCUAUUAUCCUAACCGCACAUCCCUUCAUCCAAGGGCCAAAAACCUAAUAGCAACAAUGACUUAGUGCUAUUAAUAGUAUAGUACCCUAGUUCUACAUAUAUAUAUAUAUAUCCUCUCCGCCACAAUGAAGCCCCUCCUGUAGGCAAACAGCUGCAGCGGGUGCACUAAUGCCAUCCAAAGCUGCCAGCCAUCAUAAGCUUCAAUAUGGGAUCUGAAAGGGAGAAGGGUCGAGGAAACAAUUUCUCCAACCCCACGAAUGGUGAACAGAUGUAUAUAUGGAUGCAACUGGUGCAAGCAAUAAUUUCACAUAGACAGGGACAUGUUCACACAUUUUUACGAAAAUAUCCUUCGAGGAGAAUAUUUGGCUUCCCAAGCUUAUAAACAAUUGAUAGCAACAAGGUAUUGCAUGGAGCUAUGCACCAAAACAAUACAAAUCACCUUACAUACAUGCAUCUCCCACCAGCCUAACAAUGCGCAAAUUUUAAAUGGUAGUCUGCAAAGAAGCGUCUUGCCAACCAUGCAACAACUUCAGCAUAUUAUAAGAAAGAGAAAUAUGCAAAAAUAAUGGGUCAAAUUGCAAAUCCAAAACCCCAACCCAAGCCCAAGAUGAAAGGUAGUAAGUUUACAUUCCAGACACAGAAAACCCCAAUAACUUGGCCGAGGCAAUAAUUUCUCCAAAUGUAGGGCUGUCAAUUGAGUCGUUUGCUUUCAAACAACUUAUAUUCAGCUUGUGUUACGCUUAACCACCCUUCUCUUUUUACAAGAGAAACAUCAAAGAAAACACCUCAAAAAACACUUCUUCAAAUACUUAAAAAGAAGCAAAACGAAUUAUAAAUUCGUCAAUCAAGCCGAGAUAAUAAUAAUUAAAAUCUUUUUACAAGAGAAACGUCAAAGAAAACACCUCAAAAAACACUUCUUCAAAUACUUAAAAAGAAGCAAAACGAAUUAUAAAUUCGUCAAUCAAGCCGAGAUAAUAAUAAUUAAAAUCUUUUUACAAGAGAAACGUCAAAGAAAACACCUCAAAAAACACUUCUUCAAAUACUUAAAAAGAAGCAAAACGAAUUAUAAAUUCGUCAAUCAAGCCGAGAUAAUAAUAAUUAAAAUCUUUUUACAAGAGAAACGUCAAAGAAAACACCUCAAAAAACACUUCUUCAAAUACUUAAAAAGAAGCAAAACGAAUUAUAAAUUCGUCAAUCAAGCCGAGAUAAUAAUAAUUAAAAUCUUUUUACAAGAGAAACGUCAAAGAAAACACCUCAAAAAACACUUCUUCAAAUACUUAAAAAGAAGCAAAACGAAUUAUAAAUUCGUCAAUCAAGCCGAGAUAAUAAUAAUUAAAGAUAAGGCUCAGUUUGGCCCAACUGCCAGAUAUGAAAAUAUCAGUAUUUUCUCCAUAAAGUGGAGGGUGAAUGAGCGGACAACAUGCAGACGUACAGAUACACCAGGUGCAUGCAAUAAUUUUAUUGGUAGUUCUGUUACUCAUAGUCACCAUCUCUUCAGCCUAAAGAAUGGCUGCAAAUGGUUGCCUGCUAAGAAACAGAUUAACAGACCAGCCAAAUUUGCAUUACCCACUCAGUAGACACAAGAAAAUAACAGUGCUCCAAUAUAAAGCUCAAAAACUCCAAACCCAGAGCCCACAAAUCAGAAUAUGGGGAUCUAAAUUGACUCUGUGUCACAAAUUGGGUAGAAUUUUUUUUAUAAGUAAUCCUAUCAAUUUUAUAAUUAUAAAAAUAAUUUCUUAAAAAAAAUAAUUAUAAAAAUAGACUUCUAAAUGCGGUGAAUGAUUUACCGCAUUUAUAACUCCUCAUUAGGGGUAGAAAAAGAAUAAAAGCGGUGAACCAUUCACCGCUUUUACCAUCGUAGAAAUAUAAAAAAAAGUGAGAAAAUGAAAGAAAGCGGUGAAUGGUUCACCGCUUUUAAAAGCGGUGAACCAUUUACCGCUUUUAUAGGACCAUAUUAAUAAAUAAAAAUUUAAUAGAUCUAUUUUUAGAAUAAAAUUUUAGGAGAAGACUAUUGAACUAAAAAACCCCUCUUGGUGGGCCAAAAUCAUCACCGCCUCAAAAAGAAAAGAAAAGAAAAGAGAAUAAAUCUUGCAGAAGUAGCAAUGAAAGGUAAGGAAUGAAGAGCCAUGAAAUAAACAUACAAAGACAGGAAACAUUUUUGAAAAAAAACUCCCUUAUCCAUUUCCAAAUCCGAAUGAUAGCGCAGAUACACCACUUCAGAAUCAAACCUGAAGAAAUAUUGACACAUUGUAAAACUCAUGUUAUUUAUUAUCCGACCCAUUUCAUCCCUAGAAAUAGCCCUACAAAGUGAAAAAAAAAAAAAACGGACCACUUUGGUAGCCGCAACAUUGGUAAAAAGAAAAAGGACCACUUUGGUAGGAGCAAUAUCUGUAAAACAAGAGAGUCUCCAGUGCAAUGGUUAUAUGAACAGCACUCAGACUGAGUUGUGGUGCUCACACUGUGGAGAGCCAUCACACCUACAAGAUUUUCCAGAGUUUCCAUAUAACACAAUGACUUGGGGAAUGCCAGUGUGAUGCAGUACAAGAUUCCAUACAUUUUUACCAAAAAAAGAUAAAAAAAAGCAUUCAUCCUCUUUUAAUCCAUUCUGCCAAGUGGAUUGGACCAUAACUCACGCAUGGAAUUGUGCAAGUAAUCAUUUCUCCUCUCCCAUGGGCAAUAUGUGCACAGAGUGCAGGCAAUAAUUUCUCAUAAAUGAGGGGACUUAAUACAUUUUAACCAAAAAAUCUCAAAAUUAAAUAACAUAAUCUUUUUUUUUAUCUUAAUAAUAUCAUGGCAACCACUAAACAUGAAAUAAGACAUAUGCAGGAACAAGUAGAAUAUGAAAAGAUUUUGCAGAAAACGAAAGUAUUACAAGAUAUCAGCUAAAUAAAUAUAAUUUAGAUAUCAACAUAAAUAAACAUACUCCAAUAGAUUGACAAAAGCAGAUGAACUUUUAGAAAAAAAUACCAACAUUAAACAGCAUUAAAAGCUCAAAAAAGAACACAAGUACAAAAAAAUGAAGACAAAUAGUAAGAAACCUUAUUUCCAACAUCUCAGUACCAAAGCCCAAACCACUAGUCGAACAGGAUCGAAUUAAAAUACAAACCCUCCCAAUGCCAGAAAUUAUCAAAAUAGUAAUGUUAUAUAGUAGAAAACAAAGCAGGAGAUUGGAUGAGAUUGUGCAGGGAACUCAUAUUCGCGUUUUAUUGAUCAGAGAUAUAUCUCUCUAGCCUGCCCUCUGCACUUGUCCAAAUCAAACCCUCCUAAGUUUGAAUGGCGGCAACAGAUGUGAUCGCGCCAACCAAGCUGCCAUGCCAUUACAACCUUAAUAGAGAAUGAAGUUCACAAUCAUCAUCACCUCCUCAACUUGCAUAUCUAUGUAUGUACAUGCACCGAUACUUACAUAAUAUGUGCAGACUUCCAAAAUAUAUAUACUAGAAAAGGUAGCGAAGAGUGAUUAUGAUCCAAACUAAUUCAAAAUUAGAAUAAUAUGGGUAAACUUUAUUAAUUAACAGUUAUUGAGGUCAGAAAAGGUCGCAACCGAGCAGAGGAAGCAAAAGAAUUUUUUUUUCAGAAAGCUGCAAAAAUGAGAAGAUGUGUGUUUUGUCUUAUUCAAAAUGAGAUAUGGAAAAGGCCAAUUUAAUACGCCAGUCACCAGUUGGCUUGAUUUGGUUUCAGAGUGUAUUCAGUUCCACGCUCGCCCCUAUGUCAGUUCAUGAAAAAAUAGAUUUCUUGUUAUACACAACUACGUUUAGAGAAUUAUCAGAAUGGCCCAUCAACAAGACAUGAUGACUGCUUAAGCUCGUCAACUUUGAAGCAGAUGACAACAAUAUAAUUAGAGUUAGGGCCAUCUUCUAGACAAUAAACUGUCUUUACUUGAACAACCAUUUACAAAUUCUUGAAGGGCAUAUUUCAAAAAGGCCAAUUGUUGAGGGGUUCUUAGUACAUACAUACAUUUAUUUAUACGUCUCUCCAACUCUAUCAGCCUAAAAGUGGGUGCAAUGGUUGCCAAAGAAGAAAUGAACCACCCAAAAUUUGCCUUGCCAACAAAUUAGAACUGUAGCAAAUGGAGAGAAAUGAGUAGUGUGUACAAAUAAAGCAUCAAAAUCCAAACCCUAGACCCCAAACCUUAAAUCCGAGAACUAGAAAUUCCGCAUGACAAAAUAAGCACAGUACCCUUUCAGGCAGACCAAAAUCAUCAUUGCCUCAAAGUGAAAGCAAGAAAGAAGAAGGGGUAUCUAGAGGCAACAAAAGAAUGGGCCAUAAAAUGAACUUACAGUGGAGAUAGGAUCCACGGAUUGCUGUUCUCAGGAGGAAAGGUGAGGCAGCCCUUUCAACCUUCCAUCUUCCCCUCCCAAAAGCUUAAGAAAUUUCAAUGUGACACAUUUCACACCCAACGUGGUGGACCAGGUCUAGGCACUAAUUUCUCCAAAUAUAGGGCUGUCAGUUUAGCUCAUUGCUAAACAGCUCACACUAGGCUGAGUCUCCUUUCCCAAAAAGCCCAAAAAGAAAAGCCCAAAAAGAAACACUACAAAAAGACCAAUCGAAAUACCAAAAUAGAGAGUUUUUCUCUGUACAAUGGAGGAAAGAUAGAUAUGUUAUGAACAGAUAUACAGAUACACCAGGUGCAAGCAAUAAUUUCUUGUUGUUCCACAAUUCCUCAUCUCUGCUAGCCUGAAAGGUGGCUGCAAAUGGUUGCCUUGUAGGAAGAAGGCCAGCCAUAAUUUGCUGAACCACUCAGUAGAGAGUAGAAAAUUGCCGUUCAUAAGGUAAAACACUAAAACGCCAAACUCUGAACCCCAAAUCUGAUCUCCGGGAUUUAUAUCAAUGAGUCUUCAUCCAAAUCAGGUAAUCACCCUUUGGGCAGGCCAAUAUCAUCAUACCCUCAAUGAGAAAGAAAAAGAGAAAACAGGUAUCCAGCAGAAAUAGUCAAAAAUGAGGCAAAAAAAAAAAAAAGGAAAAGGAAGACAAAAAGGGGGGAGGAAAUCCCAAAACAGAAAUCGCAAGAUGGCAAGAGCUUUACAUCAAAAACCACUCCUCUGUUACAAGAAAAGCCCAAAACAUAAAAUCCAAAAAACUCCUCUAAAUAUCAAAAAGAAGGGAAAGCAAAUGAUAUAUCCUUCAAUUCAAAUCUUCUGGACAUAAAGGGAAAGAAAAAAAGGCUCAGAUUGGCCCAUUUAUCAGACAUGAUAUUUUUUUUUCUUUUUUGAGAGAAAGGUAGCAAGCUACCUGCUUUGUUCAUUUAUCAGGCAUCAGAAUUGCAGUACCUUCUCUAUGAGAAGGACUAUAGAUGAAUGAGAUGUACUUAUACACCAAGUACAGGAAACGAUAUAUCGCAUAUAUAUAUCUCUCUCUCUCUCUCUUAGCCAGUCUAAAGAGUGGCUGCAAAUGGUUGCCUGACAAAAGACAGACCAACCAGAAAUUGCCAUGCCAAAUAUACUAGAACAUCAGGAGACGAGGAAAUAGCAGAGCAUACGGAGAAGAUUCAAAAAUCCAAAUGUAAAAUCCAACUCAAAUACAGAGGAGCAAGGAUCUAAAUUAACAAGUCUGCAUCCCAAAUCAGGUAAAUAUCCCUGUAGGUGGGCCAAAUCAUCAUAGCCUCGAAGAGAAAGGAAAAAGAGAACAAAAUUUAUCCAGAAGCAGAAGCAUAUAAUAAGACAAUGAUGUCUAAAGUGGUUGAAUAUAAUGCAAAUGGCAAAUCCGAAAAAUCAAAAAAGAAAAAAAGAAGUGAAACAAGAGGGAAGGCAAAUUGGCCUCCCCUCUCGUCCAGACCAGGUCCCUCCUAGUGACGAAUAGCUGCGGCUGUUGUCCAAACACCAUCCAAACUGCCUUCCAUAUAUUAACAUUCUGAGGUAUCCAUAGUAAUAUCCUUACAUUCCAUAACAGAGCUGAAAAGAGCUCAAAGAGAAGAAAUGGUAUUCAGCUUGAAAUUACCUACUAUUCUGUCAUGUAAUGGACUUGCUGCUCACCAUCGUCUCCUUUCUGAGUGUUUGUGUGAACGCAUAUGUGUACAUAUAUGUACAUAUAUAUAUGUACGCAUGCAAGUAUGUAUAUAUGUAUGUAUAUACAGAGAGGAAUCAACGGCCCGAAGGAACGACAGUGUGGGUAGCAUGAAAGCAAGGACGGAACAGCACAGGGAAGAAGGGCAGGAACAGAAAGUAAUUAAGAGGAGAGAGCAAUUGAAAGCUGAGAGAGAGAGAGAGAGAGAGAGAAUUUCAGGUCAUCUCCCAUUAAAGGAAAGCCACAGCAUAUCGCAAUCUCUCAGGAUUAAAGGUACAAGGUUAGUAAAGGAUAAAAUGUAUGGAUAGUCCCUAUACCUUUGCAAUAUUGCAACUUCGAUGCUGAUGCCAAAAGUGACAAGCUUAGUCAGCCACUCAUUUCUGAUAGCAGGAUGCAAAUGGUUGUCUGCAGAAAACAGACCAUCCAACAUUUGCCAUGCCUCUACAAGUGAGAAAAAGUAUGCUCCACUUUAUAGAAAUGCUCCACUUUAUAGAAAUGCUCCACUUUAUAGAAACGGGCCAUUCGUUUCACAUUUUGUGACAUUCCAGAAAUCCUCCAUACUAUCUAUUCAAGACAGUCAAAUCGUCACCGUGGAACUCAAUUUGCGAAGUAGUACGAGAUAUUGGUGAGGCGGUGGGGUCAUUCUAGAUUCCCAACAUAUAUACAAUACCUUGUAUUAGGAGUAGGGAUGCAAAUGGAUCCGGAUUGGUGGAGCUCCAGCGCCAAUCUGCCCCGAAUGGGGCAAUAAGUGGGGGACAAUAAAUGGAUUCCGGGCAGUAAACGAGCGGAAUUUUAUGACCCAAUAUGUGGGGGACAAUAAAGGAAUGGUAAAAACGUAUAGAACUUCUGAACUACGGACCAUUUUGAGUCAACUUUCCAACUUUCUUUCCAACUUUAACUACCCAACCUUUCAAUUUGUUUGAUUUGAGCUAAUUACUUGCAUCAAUGAGAAGAACGACGCAUUCAAAUUUUGAAGUCAAAGUGUGGUUAUCUGACUCAAAUCAAACAAAUCGAAAGGUCGGGUAGUAAAAUCAAAAUUUCAAAAGGUAGGAUAGCCGAUUCAAAAUGAUCCAUAGUAAUUCAAGGCAGGAUACUCUAAAAAAAUUGAUCCACCCCCGGAUCUGCCCUGAAUAAGCAUUUAAAUUAUAAGACAACUUCUAAUUUUUCUAGAAUAUUAUUUGAGUUUUAAAUGCACGAUAUUCCUAGAAUGCUAUAUACAAGUGAAAUGAACAAACCCUAAAGUCAAAAGUUUCAAAAAAUUUUAUAUUUAGCUAAAACCAUACUUUUAUACACUUCUUUUUUAUUAGAAACAGAAAUGCUAAUAUAAAAAAUAUACUAGUUUUUGAAACUAUAAAUCUAACUAGAUAGUUAAAAUCACAUUAGAUAACAACCUUCUCAUGUACCACAAUAAUAAGGAAUCGUCCAGUAAAAUAUAUAGAACAAACAUAUUGAGGGUCUCUUACAAAGCAGAGAGAAUGGAACUACAAUAGUUAUUAUAUCAUAUUCAAAAUAAUUCCAGCUAUGGGAGUGUGCACCUCUAUAUUUCCACACAGUAUCUUUGGCCAUAUCAAUAAUCCAAAGAUGUACUCAAAUACAAUUAGUAUCAAGUUUGAGGCAACAAUCAAAAUUAAAAUCAAGCAAAACUCAGACUUAUUACCCAGUUUGUUCUAACUCCUACUUGCCGGUGUUUUAAGAAUAAAAACGGAAAACACACAGCAUAAAAAUCCCUUAAUCCCAGAUCAAAAUAAACUCCUUUCGAACAAUGGAUUAAAUGAAUUUCAUUUCUAAGAGGGAUGUCAAGGAGUAGAUUCGACUCACUUAAAAAAGUAAGAAAAAGAAACCACAUUUGCCAACUAACAACAUAUCUAUCAUGACAACUGAAAUUGAACAGUUUUGUUGUUUUAAAAAAAAAUCAAACAUCAUAAAGUUCCUUGACUUGAAAAACCAAAAAAAACAAAUCCAAAACCAAUAGACUGAAACAAAUUAACUUUGUUAAUAUAACUAUUUUAAAAAAAAUAGAGUGAACCAAUAAAAAGAACAUAGAUAAUAUCAUUGGCAGAACAUGGAUUCAACUUGCGCUAAUCUUCCCCCUUUGACAGAAUAACUGAUCUUACUAGUAUAAAGAAAGUCCCACAGCAAUAAUAUAGCAAAUCAGGGAAAAUUUCUUGAAGUUAAAAACAGUCAGUAUCCUAAGGGGUCAGCCAAUCAAAAAAAAAUUUCUUAGUGUCAGAAGCUUACAAAGGAAUAAAGUUAGUGAAAAAAGACGGCAUAGAUUAAAGAAAAAAAUUAUACUGAACAGCAUCCCUAGACCAAAACCAAACACUCAUCCAAACGAAAUCUUAAAAAUAAAAUCUAAUUUCACAGAUAUUAAAAAAAUAGAAACUCCAAUAAGAAGAGUAGCGAUGAAAAUAGCCUGAGACUCAAGGACGAUAGUCUCACAUUUACCUUCCUUUACCAUUUGUACAAAUUUCACUCUCUCCCUCCCUCUGUUGACAUGUCCAAAUCAAACCAGUUCCAGUGGCAAAUGGAUGCAGCGGUUGCAAUACCCGGCAAGUGCACUCAUGCCAUCCAAGCUGCCUUGCCAUUACAACCUUCAAUAUAGAGUCCUCUAAAUAUGAGAAGAGUCAAACUAGCUAGCUGUGAGCACCAUUCAGUCUAAACUGAUUUACCAAACAAAACUAACUCAUUGCCAUUAAUUUGAUUAAUUUUACUAGAAAUUUGGUUCAGCUUAGUUUCAUUAAUUGACUGGAAAAAACCGAAACAAACAAAAUUCCUUGAAUUUUCAAUAAUUUGAUAAGUAAUAGUCUUUAGGUCGUGAGAAAAUAAUUAAAAAAUUUAACAAGCACUACCGCUAGAGUAAAGAGUUAGGAUAAGAUUAAUCAUAUUUAUAUGGGUAAACUUCAAAUACCACCCCUGUGGUUCCGCACUUUCUCACUUUUGUACAAUGUGGUUUAAAGUGUAUCAAGUUAGUGUCCUGUGGUUUCAUUUUUAUCUUUUCGUCAGCUUUUCCGUUAAUAUUUCGUUAAAUUAUAUACAAAAAAAACUUCAGAUACCCCACCUAGAUUUAUCGAAUAUUCACUUUAGUACCCUUUAGUUUUAACUUUGUCACUAAUUUAACGAAAAAAUUAGUGGAAUUAAUAAUGAAAAGAUAAAAAUGAAACCACAGGGUACUAAAGUGAGAAAGUGUGAAACUACAGGGGCGGUAUUUGAAGUUUUCCCUAUUUAUAUUUAUGUUUUGACAGUUUUAUGUAUAUUGGCCUAAAUGAAAGUUUGUAAACCUUACGGCUGUCUAGCUAAAAAAAAAAAAAAAAAAAAAAACCAUAACCCUCUUUGGGAGAUCAAAUAGCAAAAAGAACCUCAAACAACGAUUAACAAAAAUGGAGAAAUUCCACAAAUAAAACAGAUUAAAGAGAAUUGGGAGGGAUUGAACAAAGGUAGGCUCAGAUUCGCCUUUGAUCCAUCACAUGAAGAGAUCUCCCUCUCCUUUUCCUCUCCUCUUGCUCAAAUCCUUCGAGGACUAUGACUGCAGCGGUUGCACUGAAGCCAUCCAAGCUUAUUGCCGUCAUAAUCCAUUUAAUUUGGGAUCAGGAAUGAGCACAACGAGAAAAAAGAGUUUAGUUUAGAGAUCACCCAUCAAUCAGUGAUAUGCCAUCACCAGCUCCAAUUGCUUGGAUACAAACCAAUGGCUAUUGCGAUCAUCAUCACCUGCUUAUAGAUGCAAAAGUUUGUCUGCAUUCACAGAGAGCAGCUGUAUGCAUUCACAGAGAGCAGCAGAAGAAGUACGCAUUCACAGAGAGCAGCAGCAGCAGCAGAAGAAGAAGAAGAAGAAGAAGAAGAAGAAUAUGCAUGCACUCACAGAGAGGAGGAGGAGGAGGAGCAGCAGCAGCAGCAGCAGAAGAAAGAAAAAGGGUUUAGAAACAAAAAAACACAAGUUCAAACCACAUUACGAGGGGCAUAAAUCACCCACCACUCAACAAAGAACCAUCAGCUACACAAGAAGCAACAAUUCCGCAGAGCUCCUGGUAGAAAUAAGGAAGGUUUGAAGCAGGGAAAGCAAAUCCCUGCCCAGAUGCACUUGUCUACCACACCCAAAGAAUUACAGGCUUGUUCUGUUGGAUAAAUUGCACCACUAGUCCCCAAACUUUUAGCCAAGUUUCAUUUUGGUCCUCAAAUUUCAUGUUGGAUACUAGAUAUCCGAAAAUUUUGGUACAUUAUUUUCACUCAUUAGCACAUUAUUUUCAGUCAUUAGCCUCAUCUUUUGCUAGAGGAAAAUUUAUUGCCUGCACCAGGUGCAUCCAAACAUUCACGCACCAAGCAUCCAUCGGCUCUCAAUCUCAUCCAGGAGACAAAGGCACAAUGAUGCAGGUGCUUAAUGAUGCACAAUUUCUCAUGCACAUAUACCAGCCAAGCUUGCGUAACUUCAUAACCUUCUAGCACCCAAGAGAAGAAAAAAGCAUCACACACACACAAUGAGAAUGAGAGAGAGAGAGAGAGCGAGAGAGAGAGAGGGGAAGUCUUGAAAUCUAAAAGCAAGCCUAGAGGCCUUAGAAUUUAACUGCUGACAUUUAACUUUUAAGGCCUCUAGACAGGGGUGUAAACGAGCCGAGCUUUAGCGAGCUUAUCUCAGCUCAAGCUUGGCUUAAAAUUAAUUUCAAGCCUAAACUUAGGCUCAAGCUCACCUUGAAAUUAAUUCGGGCCUUGCUGGAGAGAGCGUAACUUCAAAUCGAGCGAGCUCGAGCCCUAAACGAGCCACUUGAAAUUCUUAACAUCAUACAAUCUAUAAUUUAAUUUUUGUAAAACAAUAUCUAAAUUUGAUACAAAAAUAUGUCUAAUAGUUCAACAUAUAAAAUAAAUGCAUGAAUACGGUAUUAUAAUAUUAAGAAAAGUAAUUUAGGGGAAGUGACUGGGCGAGCAAGUGAAAGAGAGGGAGAGGGAGUAAUUAAAGCAAGGUUUUGCUGGUUUGGUUUUGCGGGUCAACAAAUAUGCCCAAUAACCUAAACUCUAUAUACAUAUAAUUAAAAUACAUAAUAUAUAAUUAUAUAUUUAUAAAUACUUUUAAUAUAUAUAUAUAUAUAUAUAUAUAUAUAUAUAUAUAUAUAUAUUCGAGCUUUUCGAGCCUAUUCAAGCGAGCCCAGCAAUACUCAAGCUUGGCUUGAAAUCAAUUGAGUUUUUUUUCUCUUCAAGCUCAGCUCAAUUAAUUUCGAGUCGAGCUCGAGCGAGCUAAAUACCGAGCCGAACAUGAGCCGAACACGAGCCGAACACGAGCUGAAUUUUUAACGAGCCAGCUCGUGUUCGAGCUGACCCCAGCUCGCUCGUGUUCAGCUCGUUGACACCCCUAAUAGUGUGAAGCAGAGAAAGCAAGUCCUUGCCAAGAUGCAUUUGUCUGCCAUUCGAAAAGCAUUACACCUCUUUUUUUAGGUAAAUUGCACUAUUAGCCCCCAAAACUUUCACUCAAGUUUCCAUUUGGUCCUCGAAUUUCCAAGCUGACUAUUAGAUACCCGAAACUUCAGCCAUUAGCCUCAUAUUUGUUGAAGAAAAAGUUAUUCCCUUCACCCAGUGUAUCCGUACAUUCAUGCGCCUUGCAUCCAUCAACUCUCAACCUCAUACAGGAGGCUGAGGAACAAUGGCGCAGGUGCAUGCUAUGGCACAAUUUCUCAUGCAUGUAAACCAGCCAACCUUACGGAGUUCAUACCCCUCCAGCACAUGAGAAGAACAAAACACACACACACACACACACACACACACACACACACAGAUAGAUAGAUAGAUAGAGAGAGAGAGAGACAGAGAGACAGAGAGAGA